CCUUUUCGUUUGUUUAUGUACAUCUUUUUGUGCAGUAAGAAGGCAUCCUCUCUUCAUUUUUGCCUAUCAGGCUUCCAUGGAGAAAGGACAAAGUCAGAGUAAGGCAAACAAAAGGAUGCACCGUUUCAAUUUAGGCCGUCCCUUUGCGGUAUUCAAUCAUCUCAAGAAGAAGAAAAACGGUGCAGAGAAAGAGAGCAUUGAGGGAGCAUCCAUUUCUUCCUUUAUCUCUUCGAUACCCACAGGAGGCAGUGAUCAAUACGACAUAUUCUUGAGCUUUCGAGGCUUGGACACCCGCAAGGGAUUCACCGAUCACCUCUACCGCAGUCUAAUCAAUGUAGGGACCGUACCAAUUUCCGUGUUCAAGGACGAUAAUAGCCUCGAAAUUGGCAAGGAUUUUGAUUCAGAGAUUCUUGAUAUCAUCACGCAGUCUAAGAUUUCAAUUCCCAUUAUUUCCGAAAAUUAUGCUUCGAGCAAAUGGUGCCUCCGUGAGCUAGUUCGUAUCAUGGACUGCAAGAAGAGCAUGCCUCACAUGGUGUUGCCCAUUUUUUACAAAGUGAGCCCAUCCGAUGUGCGGUAUCUAAAGGGAAAAUUUGGGGAGGCCUUCCAUAUGCGUAAGAAGCGUUUUGAUGAGAAGGAUAUUCAGGAAGGGAGACAAGCCCUUACAGAAGUGAGUUACUUAAAUGGAUGGGAAUCUGAAAAAUUUUCUAAUGGGUACUUCUCUUCCACCUACACUUUUAUUUUUCGUAAGUUUUUUUAUUCAGCAAAACUGAUGUGAUAUGGAUGAACUGCUUUCACUACAAGCUCACAAAACAUCCCAGUGCUAAUGAAUAACCAUAAUGGCCCAAAGACUACAAACCCUUGUACUCUGCUAUUUUUCCCCUGCAAACUACACCACCAACAACUAAAACCUUAGGAUCCCAUACUCAGCCUUCCAAACCUUGAUCGACCCCAGAUAAAUUGACCUCCUAUUGCCAACAGGUGGCUCGGUUGAUGUGAAUGGGACACUUUACAUUGACCAUGUCAUAGGUUAAACUUCCGCUACUUCCAGUAACCACCAUGGGUAGGUGAUUAUAAAUUAAUUACAAGUUCCCAUUUAGGGCCCUCGGAUACGCUGGCCUCGGAGGGAUGGCCUCCCCUCCUCCUAAGUCCUAAACUUUUUGUAAUCAAAAUAAUCGACCUCCUAUCCUUCAAUUAGCAGCGACCAUAGGCCUUAUAACAAACAGUUUACUUCUAAAGAUUCUCAAUUUGGUCGGUGCAACACCUUAUCUUAUUUCAAUAAGAUCUAUCUAUUGGUAGAAAAAGAAGGAGAAAUUGAAAUGACUACUACACCAUCAUCCUUCAUUGUUAUUCAUAAAACCGAAACAUUUUGCAUGUUAAUUGGUUCCAUCCAUCCUUCACAUAUAUGUGGGUGUCCUUUGAAGAGAUUACGUGAAACUACGAAAUUAUGAUGAGUUAUUGUUGUUUGACAGGCAUGAAGGAGAAUUAGUGGAAGAAGUCAUCAAAACUAUUCUGAGCAAGUUGAGACAUAAUUUUCAGCUUGAUGUUCCUAAGCAUUUAGUUGGAGUUGGCGAUAUAAUUAGGAAUUGGGUUGAUACUCCUGCCAAUCAUGCUCGAAUGAUUGGAAUAUAUGGCAUGGGCGGGAUCGGUAAAACAACUCUUGCCAAGGUCAUCUACAAUGAGCUGUUGAAUGACUUUUUGCAUCGUAGCUUCCUUCCAGAUAUACGAGAGACAGCUCACCACAACGGUAUUCUUUAUUUACAAAAUCUACUAAUUAAGGAAAUACUACCCAAUGAACAUCAAGUUUGCAAAGUUGAUGAUGGAAUUAGUGUGAUCAAAUCUAGAUUCAAAGGAAAAAGGGUUCUCAUUCUUCUAGAUGAUGUUGAUCAUCAAGAUCAACUAAAUGCUUUGGCUAGAGAACGUGAUUGGUUUUCGACAGGAAGUAUCAUCAUUGUUACGACUAGAUAUGAAGCUGUUCUUGAUCAACCUGAAUUCCAAGCAGACUACAAGUAUGAACUGAGUGAAUUAGAUGAGGUGCAUUCUUUGCUUUUAUUUAAAAGGCAUGCAUUUCACAUGGGCCAUUGUUCAAAGGACUUUGAGGGUAUCUCACGUGAUAUCUUAUCCACCAUGGGCGGGCUUCCCCUAGCUAUCAAGGUCAUAGGUUCAUACUUGUAUGGGAAAACAAAUGGAAAAGUAUGGCAAGAUAUACUGAAGAAAUUAAGAAACGAACCGGCUAAAGACGUCCAAAAGAUAUUGAUGAUAAGUUAUGAUGCAUUGGAACCUGAACAUAAGAAUAUUUUUCUCGAUAUUGCUUGCUUCUUUAUCGGCGAAGAUAGCAAAUUCGCCAUUUACACGUGGGAGGAUUUUUAUCCAUAUCAAGGAAUUGAAGAGUUGAAGUUGAGGUGCUUAAUUAAAAUUGGAGAUCAUGGUGAGUUUAGGAUGCAUGAUCAACUAAGAGAUCUUGGAAGGAGCAUCUUUUUCCAAGGACAAUCGCUUGAAAGAUGUCUGAAACAAUGGGUUGACCAAGAAGGCUUAACAGUGAAACCGGAACGUGGGGUAAGAUAUGGCACUCCUUUUUUUCUUUCCCUCUCUCUCAUAAUUUCAUGUUUAAUUUGAUCUAUUCUACUAUUUUACCUAGUGUGAGCAGAUGCUCCUACUUUUUAGGAAAAAGUCUAUUUAUAUGUCCAUUCAUGUCCAUCAUACAUGAAUUGUGGCCGUAAUUGGAUUAUAUGUGUGCCAAUGAUUAAAAAGUUACACUAUAUAAUUCAAAUUCAUUUGCAUAAAGUACAUUAGUCAAAAAUUUAAUAUACAAUCGAUUCUUUAACUAUGAUUCUAUAGUAAAAAUCUCAUUCACUAAAAGCAUGCAAUUUUAUAUCUAGUUGAAAAUAUUGAUAGUUUGAAAGACUAAUAAUUAAUAAAGAUGAAGCAUAUACAUCAUAGAUCAUAUAAAUAAAUAUUGUUUUUAUUCAAAACAAUAAUGGACAAUAUGUGCCAAUUAUAAUAACUAAUAAUUAAGCAAAUCAGUAACAUUAAAGAAAAAUAUCACAUUUACAACGGGUGCUUUCUUUCUAUUAUAGUCGAAUGUAAAGAAAAAUAUCAAUGUUUGGUAUGCUUUUUCUUUUUUUUCCAUUUUGAUUCAAAAGUACCUGUCCCUCUACUAGUUAUAUCUAUCUCUUUUCAUUCUUCUUUCCUCUUAAUAGAUAUGAUGGCAAAGAAUCUCCUUAAUAAAUAUAUUGGGAGAACCUUACUAUCGUUGUAUCACGUGGACCUUGCUCAUCUUAUGGAUUAGGUUAGGUGUUUUUUUUUUGGUCCGUUAGGUUAGGUGUUUGACAAUUAAUGGAUUUCCUUAUUCUCCCUUCUUUGCUUCUUUCAUUUCUGUUUUCUUUUUCUUUCGCUUUUCUUGAUAAACAUUUCUUUCCUCGCCAAGCUCUUUUAUAAUAUUUAUAUUUUUGGGACAAUGCCCUUUUGUGCCAAUAGCCACUAGACUAACUUGACUAUUUAGAGGAAAUGUCGUGCUUCUUAUUAAUAUAUUGAUACCUUUUUCUUUACUAUAUACGAUUUUCAGCAUGAAAGUAAGGUCAGUUUUCACUUAGCUUGGUUUGAUAUGCAGGCACGCUAUUGUUUGAAAAACUACGAUACAUACUUUCAAUGGCCUCGUGGCUGUUCCCCUGCAUACACAGUGAACAAUUUAAAACUUACCGAGCUCAGUUCCUUCAAUUGUGCUGGAAGGCUUUAAGUGGAGACUUUAAUGAACUAUUUUCUGAAUUANNNNNNNNNNNNNNNNNNNNNNNNNNNNNNNNNNNNNNNNNNNNNNNNNNNNNNNNNNNNNNNNNNNNNNNNNNNNNNNNNNNNNNNNNNNNNNNNNNNNGAAAAAAGACAUCCUUUGUGAUCUUGCUUUGUUUUGUCUGUCCAUUAAAUUCCUUUUUUGACAUCUUAUCCUCCUUUAUAUAGGUGGCAAAGCGGCUAAAAGUUCUCAACCUUUCAUAUAGCCAGGUUUUAAGAUGUACUCCUGAUUUCUCGACUUUCACAAAGUUGGAGAUUCUAAUCUUGGAUGAAUGUUGCAAACUGGAGCAAGUCCACCCUUCUAUUGGCCAAGUCAAGAGACUUGUUUCCUUGUACUUGAGGAAUUGUCUCAAUCUCAAAGAGCUACCAGAGGAAGUGGGUGAAUUGCGAGAACUAAAAGAACUUCUUUUAGAUGACACUGGCAUUACAAAAAUUCCUAUGUCAAUUGGUUCUUUGAAGAAGUUGCAAAAGUUGAGUGUCCCACAUUGUUUGUCAUUGGUUGAAAUCCCUCUCUCAAUCAGUAAUCUUUCUUCUCUCGAACACCUUGACCUAAGUAGUUAUUCACCAUUGAGUGAGAUCUCUAGGUCAAAUAGGAAUCUUUCUUCUCUUGAAUGCUUUAACCUCCUUAGCUCAAUCGAGAAUCUUUCUUCUCUUCAACACCUCAACCUCUCUCAAUAUUCGUCAUUGAGAGACAUCCCUAGUUCAAUUGGAAAUCUUUCUUCUCUCCAACACCUCAACCUUUCUCAAUGUUUGUCAUUGAGAGACAUCCCUAGCUCAGUUGGGAAUCUUUCUUCUCCCGAAUGCUUUAACCUCCUUAGUUCAGUUGGGAAUCUUUCUUCUCCCGAAUGCUUUAACCUCCUUAGCUCAAUUGGGAAUCUUUCUUCUCUUCGACACCUCAACCUCUCUCAAUGUUCGUCAUUGAGAGACAUCCCUAGUUCAAUUGGAAAUCUUUCUUCUCUCCAACACCUUAACCUUUCUCAAUGUUCGUCAUUGAGAGACAUCCCUAGCUCAGUUGGGAAUCUUUCUUCUCUCUUACACCUUAACCUCUCUCAUUGUUCCUCAUUGAGAGAAAUCCCUAACUCAAUUGGGAAUCUUUCUUCUCUCCAAUACCUUAAUCUCUCUCAUUGUUCGUCACUAAGAGAAAUCCCUACCUCAAUUGGGGAUUUACACAAAUUGCAACAUCUGAACAUUGAUAAUCCUUUGAUUAAAGAGAUCUCCGAUGCCAUUGGAAGGUUUAAAGAACUGCGGAGGAUAAUUAUUAUAUCCCAUGAUAGUCGGGGAAUUGGAUCUGUCUAUCGCUCUCGUUCGCUUAGUAAAAUCAUUGACAUGUCCUUAUCUACUCUACCCGAUUGCAAGGAUAAAUCUUUUCUUCAGAACCUCCUUUCCCAACACUUUAAGGUGCUUAGAUUGAUGCCAAAGCAUCCUUUUGGUUUAACAUAUCUUCAAUACAAUUUCGCAAUUCCCAAAUUCCUACAACUUUCUUGUCUAAUCGACCUAGAAGAACUUCAUCUUUAUGCAUGCGAUCAACUUGAGAGCAUCCAGGGGCUUCCUUCAAGGCUCUUGAAAUUUUGUGUUGACUCAUGUCCAAACCUGAUAUUACCUGAGAUUGGCAGAUUCAAGUACUUGGAAGAGUUGUCGAUAAGAAGCUGCAGUUUCAUUAAAAGAAUGGACCUGUCACAAUGGAAUCGCUUGAAAGAAUUGGACAUUCAGGGUUGCGAUAAUCUAGUUGAAAUUCAAGGCCAUGGAGAAUUAGAGUUCUUGGAGACGAUAAAUAUAUAUAGCUGCAUGUCAAUUGAAAGGUUGAUCCUUCCGAAAUUACAGUGUUUGAAGCGACUACAUGCUUGCUCUUGCAACAAUCUAGUUGAAAUACGAGGUCUUGAUAAGGCAGAGUUGUUAGAGGCAUUAGAUAUUUCCAAUUGUUGGUCCAUUGAAAGAUUACCUAAAUUAGGAUGCUUUGCGACCUUGAAAGAGUUGAACAUUAAUGGGUGUCACCAUCUACAUGGUGUUGAGAGUCUCGAGAGAUUCUCAUCUUGCCGAAGUAUAUUUAUUAAGGAUUGCAAAAACCUAGAAAAACUACCAAACUUGUCGAAAUUUGAAAGUUUAGAGAGUUUCAUAAUCUUGGGUUUAAUCCGGCUUAGGGAGAUUCCUGGGAUUGGGGAAUCAAGAUCGCUAACAAAAGUAUCAAUCAUAAAAUGUCAAUCCUUGGAGACUUUGCCAGAUUUGUCGGGAUGUGAGAAGUUACGAUAUGUAAGGGUAGUAACAUGUGACAAACUUACUCAACUUUGGGGACUUGAAAAGUUGGAUUUGACUCUUUUGGAAAUUUAUGGGUGCCAGCAUGUACCAGAAUUAUUUAAAACAUGCAACGGGAGAUAUGAAUAUGAAUGCUUUUGUAUUCCCGAGGUAAUUAAAUUGCAGUGAUAAUAAUGUGAUGAACUUUAUACCAAUAUUACAAGAGCAGGCUAGUCAUGUUUCCUUGACAGAGGUAAAUAAGCAGCAAACUACCAUUUUUCUUUGAGUUUCAUGACCUAUUUUUCAUCAUUAUCUUCUUUUGACAAUAAGGUUUUCCUUGACAGGGUUUUGUUCUUCCUAAGUUCCUAGACUUAAUAACUUGAAGGAAUGGUGGAGUUGGUCGUAGAAGCUGACAUGAUGCUUCAGCCAAGAUCAAAAUUUAGAUCCAAUGGUGCUUCCUCGUUCAUUAGAAGGCAUUGGUCAUUUGGUAAGAUUCUUCAUCCUUUAACAACUAGCAUGAGUGAAUAGAGUAAUACUUUUGUCAAGGAUAUAUCCUUUAAGAAUUAUUUGCUUGACACUACGUAUCUCAGCGAUAUGGAUUUGCCUAAAUCUUUUGUUGUAAAUUCCAUGACAACAAUCUUUUUUUAGCUAUCCUUCCAUUGGCAACUUUUGUAGACAGAUUGGCGGCUUGUGAGGCAACAAAUGAAAAUAUCGACAUAUGUAAAAUAAUUACUUAGCGAUUUACAGCUCCCCUCUCAAUAAAACAGGUAUUUCAAUUUUUUAUCUAGAGGGCAACGAUCUUCCGCUACUCAAUAUUGUAAACUGCACCCAGAUCCGCUUUUUCACUCUGUCUUAAACUAGUAUUUCCUUUAACAAAUCCUUGUUUGAACUCAUUUUGUCAGCUCUUCAACAGGUCAAAUUUGACCGAUGGUAGUUAUACUGUUAAGAGCAAACACCUCUCGAUUUUUCGUGAUAAUAGGAAAGCCUGUCAAGGCUCUUCUCAUUCGCUUGAGCAUGAAUUCCCAGUAAGGAAAAGAAACUGAGCUAAAAUAACAAUCAAAUUUCAAGUUUUUCUGGUGGAUGAUGGAAAAGGAAAUGAAAAGUAAUUUUGGUUAGUCUGUUUCGUAAAUGAUUGGAGACAGGCUCUCUAUAACCGAUUGUCAUACUGCCGUUUGAUGAUCAAGCAAGGCAAACUGGUGCUGCUUUUGGGACAAACCUGGCUUUCUGUUUAAUGAUCAAGGCUUACGUUUGGACUUUGAUUCGAAGAGCCGUACUGAUGACCUUUUGCAUAAUUAGGAUGAUUUAUUUGCCCGUUUUAUAAAACAAGUUGGGCAAGGAGCUUAAGAUUUUGUUAAUUCGUUUGCACGCUGAUUGAUCCUGUUGUUGUUGUGGAAUCAUUUUAUCACAUGAUUAAUCUGGGUUUGGCUAACUUGGCUGAGGAAAUUCAAAUUCCGUACCAGAGAACGAUCAAAAUGAGGAAGAGGAAUUUUGCCGAGGAAUCAUCAACAGUAGCUGAAGGCUUUUGUGCCCACCUUGAAGAGGCUUACGGGCCAACUGAAGUGUAUUGGUAAAAAAAUUUAUGCCUGUGAAGAUCAAAGUACUUGAUCUGGUCUCAACAGCAUGUACUUGAAAAGUUGGGAUUGUAUUUUUUUUCAAUUGAAUCUGCUUUUUGUAUGCUCAUUAGGUUCUACCUCUAUUAAUUAAAUACACUUGCUGAUUUUUCUGCAUGUUACCCUGAUGCAGAGUUCUUUGAUGCGCCUGCGUUCUAAUGAUAUCAUUCCCAAACUCAAUCAGGCUUUGCAAAUAGAGGUAGCACUGCCAAUCCUCCCAUAACUGUGAGAGAGUAAGUUGUGUGCUUAUACUUAAUUGAAUGUGCUUUUUUGUAAGCUUGUUAGGCUCUGCCUCUCUGCUAAUCAAAUACGUACUUGCUGAUUUUCUGCAUGUUACCUUGAUGCAGAGUUGUUGGAUGCGGUUGCUUCUAAUAAUAUCAUUCCUGAACUUAAUGGGGCUCUGCAGAGGAAGGUAUGUAGUGCCAGUCAUACCAUAACGAUGAAAGAUUAACUUGUGUGCUUUAAACUGUAUUCAAUGUGCUUUUUUUAUGCUCGUUAGGUUCCACCUCUCUGUUAAUAAAGUACGUACCUGCUAAUUUUUCUGCAGGUUACCCCGAUGCAGAGUUGUUUGGUAAAAGCUUAAAGAAGAAGAAGGAAGAAGAAGAGAAGCUCUCUUGUGCCAAACAGCAUUUUCUGGUUGUGUUCGAUGAAGUUAUUCGAAAGUCCUUGCUCAUGAAAUUUUACGGUCUGAUCUCACUUUCUAGCCAAAACAGCACUUCUCACUAUACGUGUUCAAUUAAUUUUAUAGAAGCCAUUAGUGAUGACCCAGGAAAAAGGAAAUGAAGCGGAACGUCAAGAAGGUGGUAUUUGCGCCAUUUUCCUUAUUUCCUAGUUAGUAAUGCUAUUGGAAGAGAAUGUCUUCAAGGUUCAGGCAUAACAGAAGGAUUGGUGAGGAUUGCAGUUACCUUUGCUCCUAGGACCAUCUCAUGUGGACUCUAAUGCCACCUCCUCUGUGGUAUACCGGUAUGAUGACUAGUUCAUGAAAUAUUUGAUAUAAUGCCAACGUGCUAAUUUCCAAUUCCGCUCUGUUUAUGCAACAGUAUAAGCUAGCACAUGUUCAUUUUUCUCUCAUAUAAGCAGCAUCACAAAGUCUGGACUUCCAAUUCCCAAGGAGAUAAAGGUUUGUCUUUUUUUUUUUGCAGGGGUUUAUAUCAAUAAAUAGUCAAUACGAGACACCAAGGAUCCAAGCAAUAACUGCCGAUGCUCUUUGCAUUAACUGCCGAUGAUCGUGGAGUACGUGAUCACAUCUGGCUCCCCGCCUUCUUCUUACAAAUUCUUCAGCAAUGGAACGGAUCUCCUGGCAUGUGGUUAUAUCUACCUCAUCAAAGUGUUAAAGCUCACAGUAGUUGGUUCUUGUUACGAUAGGGCGAGCGAUCGAACAAAAUAUAGACGGAAGAAAAAAUAAAUCGGACACCGGAUUUACGUAGUUCAGUCGUAAAGACCUACGUCCACGGGGAGAGCAGCAGUGAAUUUCACUAUAAAUCAAGCGAUACAAGGAGAUUACACACUCAAGUCACUCAAACACUCUCUCGAUGUUUCUCAAGCCCCAAUUACACCCAAUAACGCACCCAGUGUUUAGCUCCGAAAUUCCUCAAAAAUAAUCUCUCAAUUUCACGAAGGAAUUACAUGCAAAUCUUACCUUAAAAUUUAAUCGACUACAAAUACUAAACUUCUUGGAUGUAAUUGCACGAAUGAAAAACAACAAGCCCACUUUCAAGCACUCGAUAUUUGGUGCUUCAAGUUUACUUGCAUCAACAACGGCGGAACAAGCACUCACGCGGCGCUUCAAGAUGUGGCUUCGCUCAACGAUGGUAUGUGGCUUCGUGCGGCAGCAACUCACCGAAAAGAAGAAACUCUCUUUCGCGGCUCCCCUCUGCGACUUCUCUUUUUCGUAAAGGGCUUCGGCAGCUCUUUUAUACGUGUGCCCAUGAGGUCAAAACUUUGACCAUGAGCCCACCUUCGUUUCCUUUUCUUUCACGCGUGCAGAGGACUCCUUCACGCCAAGACUCACGAAUUGAUUUCCUUCAAUUCGGAAUCCUCAGGCUUUGCAGCAAAGAACUUUGCUUCUUUAUUUUAAUAUUAUAUUUUCUCUUUUAGUCCAGUAACUCCUUCGCGAGUCCAUCAAAUUUCGCGUUUUAGCAAACGCUUAAACUCGAGUCAUAUUUAACAGUUCUAGUGCAAGUUUGACUAUUUAACAUCAAAACUGAGAAACCGAGAUCGGACCUCUUCAAUUGGCGGAGGUGAUUCAUCAAAAUGCUGCGAGUAAAAACACUGGGCGAAGUUCCUUCCAAACCCAUCCUCUCGGUCAUGUCAAUGGUGAUGGCGCAAUGACUAUUUUACUAAAGACACGUUAGAUAGAAAUUAUUACUAUGAAAACAUAGAAUAACUUCAAAAGCACCGCUGUUCCUAGGAGAAGACAACGUCAAGACCCAUUCUAAGGCACCAAUUCAGCCACAGCUCCAUGAAAUGGCAAAACCCAACAACGUUCCCACGCCGCGGCUACCUAUAACCGUCGCGGGCACAGUAAAAGAACGAGUCUUUUCCAUCUGUUUUCCCGCUUCCCCUCUAGGAGAAGACAGUGUCAAGACCCAUUCUAAGACACCAAUUCAGCCACAGCUCCAUGAAACAGCAAGACCAAACAACGUUCCCACGCCGCGACUACAUAUAACCGUUACGGGCACAGUUAAAAAACGAGUCUUUUCCAUUCAUUUUCAUGUUUCCCCUACUGCCCAUAUAUCGCACCAUCCGAACUGCCAGUACCUCGAAAGCUGCUGUAACAAACAUCGACGCCCGGGAUCGGGCGCGCCAUGUAGUAGUCGAUGGACACGAUCCGGACGCUGAAAAUCAUGGGGUCCUUCUCCGGCGCCGACGCCGCUGUACUGGGCUGCGAACCUUCUUCCUCCUUCGGGAGUGGCGGCUCCUCCAUCUGUGGAAACCUUCCCACGACCCUCGCUGGGGAAAAGUGCCGGAACCCAGGGCACGGUUAGCCCGAAAGUCGAUUGCCGGCGAGAGCUCGGAGGCGCUGGCUGGUGUAUAACCGACCGCGCAAAAGUCGAGUGUCUUCUCCAAGCUUUUCUCCAAUUUUUUCCCUCUCGCUUGUUCUCGUGCAGUGCAGUAACGGAACCCCAGAAUAGGAAAAUGGACCGAGAGAAGUCUUUGGGACGAUGAAUUAUUUUAAGUUACCUCGGAACGGUUAUUUUACUACUGUCACAUAUCAUGAUAAAUUCCGACCAAAAAAAAAAUUUAAUGAUGGAUUCGGUCAAAAAAAUAUUUGAUGAUAGAUUAAAAAUUGGCUUUAAUCUAUCUUAUUAAUUGGUUUUAUAUACUAAGUAAAUGCUAACAACAAUGUUCAAUUAUAGAUAUUAGCUAUUAAUAACUCAGCAAUCAAAUUACAAUUUCAUAACUUUCUAAUAGUUUAAAAAAAUAAGCGUAUUGAAAAUAUUAAAACUUUCAAAAAGUACAAUCAAAUUAGAAAAUUUAUCAUAAAUAUACAAUUGAGUUUUAAAGUUUUAAAAAAAUACAAUCAAGUUUUAAAACAGAUUAAUGACUUUAAUAUGAAUUAAAAUUUGUGUACCAAUUGAAUCAAAACUAGUUCAUAACUUAAUUAAAGAAAAAUUUGUGUAUCACAUGAAUUAGGAUCUGUAAGUUCAUAAAUGAAUUAAUGACUUUAACAUGUUGACAACUUGUACGACUAAAUAUUUAUAAAUUAUUAAAAUGAACAAUAAUUUUGGAACAAUCAAACAAACCGCAAUAUUUUUCGUGAAAGUUUGAGUAUAAACAAGUCACAAGCCAAAUACAUCGCCGAUCUUUUUUUACAAACUGUUGCUAAACAAUAUUUAUGAACUUACUGAUACGGAACACCAGAACAAUCCUGGUCAGUGGUGAUGCUCCCGAAUUACAGACCUUCAAGAGGUUUGUCCAACAACAAUAGUCAUCAAAUUCAAAAGAUCUAUCCACCCAUAGCUACAUCUACAAGACCAGCUGAAAGUUUAUCAACACCUCGACCAUUCGCUAAAACAUUAGUCAAUCCACACAAAUUACUCCGUAAAUAUAUUAGUCAGUCCACGCAUAAAUAAAUAAUAUGCUCCAUUCCUUUGCAAAAGGCUAAAAAUAUAUGUACGUUGAUCACUUGAUCAGAGAAUCAUACAAUAGCCACCACCCUUUUCCUUUUGGACACUAUAUUUACCAUGAAUUGCAAAUUACAAAUGCAUUAUACAAGGUUCUCUCCACAGAGCUCGUUUGAUUCGGCUUUGGGGAAAUGCCAUUGAGAGAAUGCAAAUACCUUUGAGGUAAAUGGGCUUUUGGAAAUAUUAGACCAUUUGGUAAAUUAUAACAUUGAAAUGCAACUUAGCAUAAACACCGUUUGGCAAAAUUCACAUUUAUAAUUAGCUUUUGUUAUUUAUUUUUUUUUUAAGUCUGAAAUCAAAUUCCGACGGCCGGCCACUGCCGACCAACCGUUGGCCACCGUCGGACUGCCAGAUCUGGCCUCGCUUGGUCGCCUGGCUCGCGCGAGACUAGGCAACGCCGGCUGAGGUCCGCACGACCUCAAGCAGUGUCGCCUGGUCGCGCACAACCUCAAGCCACCUCGCCUGAGGUUGUGCGACCUUAGGCGAGGCUUCCCAGCAGCCAAAUCUGGCCGCUCGCAACUGAGUGCCGCCCACCGCAAAGAAGAAGACGAACGGCAGAGGACACGAUGAACAGUGACCCUGUGAACAGUAAAAUCGCAUCUCCGGAAUGCCCAAUGCUCAAAGCUGGUCCUCCCCGGCAUUUGGCUUUCGGCAUUUAAAAUGCCCGCAUUUCACAAAUGAGCAUUCAAAAGCCCUUGCCAAACACCCAAAAUUUCCUCCAAGGGGGAAUGCCCAACCAAACACCCCCAUAGUGAUGGGAAAACAAGCCAAUCAACGCUUGGAGUUGCCCCAAGAAUGCUAGAUGCGGCUUGGUGAAAUUGAAGAUUCACACACAUGGAGAUAUAGGUUCAAUUCCAGUCCCGUGCUUCAAGCUGCCAUCACCAUUCAUAUCACCUCAUUAAAGCAGCCAUAAUGUUGCCUAACCAUUUCAUUUAGGCCAAUCCCACUUGUCUCUCCCACCUAAGGUCUUCGGAGAAUUUCGAGAGUGCAGCCCUUGGGUCACCAUCAGAGAUAGACAAGUAGUACUGAGCAGUCCCAUCAUCAACCUGCAUGCUCCUCCUAAGGGAGUCGAGUAUUCUCUUCUUCCCUCGUUCAGAGGUUGUCCUCUUUAGCAAAGAACUUAUCUCUAUGUCCUGGACGCCUUCUGGGUAAAGCACGGCGACUUCCCUCUUUGCAUGGUUAUCUCGCUCUAUGUAGCAUGUGGAAUCGAUAAGAAUGUCAGGGUUGCUUAUGGGGAUUAACAAUCUCUCCCUUGAAUAUAUACCAUGAUCACUCAUCAUGUUGUUCAAGCGCUUUAUGUCCAUGACCUGACAGCACAAAAGAAAUUCUUGAAGCAUGUGACAUGCGGUAUAGACAGGCUCAAAAAGGAUAUGCUUGACAGAAACAUUGAAGCCGGGAAGAAAAAAAAAUUCAGGGAAGCCAUUCUAAAAGUAAGUCUCGGACAACAGUUAUCAAAACAUUGAACCCAGAGAGAUCUAACUACAUGACAUCAUUAUUGACACUUCAGGGAUUAUUAUGACUACAACCAUGGAAAAUUUCCAUAUAAAGACAUUCAUUUCCUAGUUGCACAAACAAUUUAAGUUCUGCUCUCAGAAUUUGAGGUUCACAUUCAACCAUUUCGAUGAAUCAAUACCACCACUGCAGAAUCAUCUACUAUUUCUAUGUCAAUGUUAUUUAGUCAGAGGAACUCUCAUGAGGAUCACAAAGUGCAUUGCCCAUCAUUUCACACUGAUUACUUGCAAAAUCUAAGCAUCAUUUAGCCUCGUGUGUUCUGGCAACUAAGAGAUUGUGAUUAUCUAUUAAGAUAAUCAAUAAAUAGUCAUCAAUCAAGCAUAUCUUUUUGCUAUUAGUAACCGGAGAUGCUUCUCACUUGGCAAACUUAAGAAAACUUUACCACAUGAAGAGAUUUCAUAAUGUUUUACAUGAAGAGGACCCUAUGCUCCCUAAGACAUAACAUUUUGGUCCAAGCCCCAACCUUCCUCCAUACCUCCAGAAGAAACCGUGACAGUGACUUCCAAGUGUAACCGUUUCCUUUUCCUUCUUUAUAUAUUAGGCUUCACUAAAAGAUGAAGUCACUCCAAAAUUACAAAAUUCGUACGUCAAUUAGCCUGGCCUUCCCCAAUGGGAAUAAAUCUAUAAGAUUUGCAGUAGUAAAUUCCAUUGAGCAUCUAUCCUACCACCUAUUUGAUACGAUAUAGAGCCACAGUGUAAAAUUAUAACUAACCCCACUCAAUGGGAUAAAUCUGUCAUUAACGUUGAAGUCAUUCAACCGCCAGCCUGCACACAGAAGCUAUGAACAUCAUCAAAUGAUAUGUACACUGUGUAGCAUCUUGUCAACAUUUUUCUUCUCCUAGUAAAUUCCCCAAGCUAACCUUUAUCAAAGAGGCCAGAACCCAAUCGAAUGGAGGUAUAAAAAAGCCAUGCCCAAAAUUGAACAAAACUAUGUACUUAGACAAUCCUGCACCAAUCAACAGAGCUAUCCAACUUUGGCUAUUAUAAUGGAGGAAUGACAGAAUGCUUCUUCAAGGAGAAAAGCCUCUGCAAAGACCUGAUAAUUGUCGCUACCUGUACAGCUUUCCUCAACCAACAAGUCCUCAGCAUUCUUCGGGAUUCGCCAUUUUAGCAAUCAAACUCAGGAUCACAAAUUCGUAUAUUAUGAAAAGCACCUAACCCAUCCCCACCCAUCCUUUCAGCGCCAAUGAAUAACCAAAUAGACAAUCUAUGCUGGAGAAGAAAACCAGAUGGAUUCCAAGCCAUCAGCAAAGCAAACCCACCAGAAAUUCCAUGAUAAUUCACAAUAAGGCUCCCAGCUUCCGUCCACUUCACUCAAACGGACCCACCCACGUCUAACCCUGGCUACACAUGACCACAUGCAGAACAAACGCACAUGACUUCCGAAACAUCAGAAGGAUACUACCAAGAAACCUUCUUCGUAAAGUUUCAAAAGCUGUAGCCGUACACACCACUUUAGCUAACUUUUAAAUGAAAUCACAAUCCAUUUGUUCGUCAGAAUCUGCCGAAAGUGAAUCUCCAUCGAAAAUGCAGAUUCAAAUCAUGUCAUUUGCAAACGUUUAAAGUAUACCCAUGCGAGAAUAUCAUUUCGCACCAACACAAUGCGCAGGAUGCUCACAAUUAAUACAGAAAAAGUGACAGAAACUCCAUUACCUGAACGGAGUACUUCACGGCGAGGCUCGCGACGCUAUCGCCGCGCUUAAUCCCGGUGCGAGAUCGCGAACUUCCCCACGCCGUUAUCCCCUCCAGAAGCUACCCGAGCUCGGGACGCCGACCACCUCCUUCAACCUCCAGGGGGCCGCGAAGGCUCGGGUGACCAUGUCCCGAUCGGAGGCAACGGAGCUCCAGAUGCGGCAGACGCAGCUCGCGCGGGCCAGGUCCGGGACGGGGAGCUUCUCGAAGAUGAGCCGGAGGGUGUCGCGGCAGGCGAGGGCGGAGAAGUGGGAGUUCAUCGGCGAGAUGGUGGAAUCGUUGGCAGCGGAGGCGGAGGCGGAGGCGGAGGAGGAGGCGGCGGCGGCGGCGGCGGAGAGAGAUCCCGGUCGUCGUCGUCGUCGCCGCAGCAGCCCAUUGAGAGAGAGAGAGAGAGAGAGAGAGUUUUUUGGUUUUGAACGGUGGAUAGUAGAGGUGCCUGGAAUAUGGUUGAAUUAUGAGUUUUCCCCGUGUUUUGUCAUUUAUUACAAAUUGCCCCUAACUUUUCGAUUUUUUGCGAUGUCUCCCCUAAAUUUUGAAAUCGGUUGCAAUGUCGGACUGGGGUGACUUCCAUUACUUUUCAGUUUGAGCACCGACCGUGUGCUUGUCACGUGACUGAGUUGAUCUUUCAUGGAGGGUAAAUCCGUCGGAUAAAAACAUGCGAAUUGUAUUUUAACCUCCAAACUUUGGCAAAGUUGCCCUAACUCUCCGUUAUAUUUCUCUUCCACUUUUUAUCAGCAAUAGAAAUUAUAAAAUCAUUUCCUUUGAUUUAUGAACAUAUUGCUCACACAAAAAUUUCAUGAAAGGAAGUAGUUACACUGAUUUGGUAUUUUUUUUUAUAAUAUAACUAGACAUCAUCACACCACAUGAAAAUCUGAUGUUCGUAUCAUGUUCCUACAGAUUGAUAUUAGUGCUACACUAUCGUGUCUUUUAUUUAACAAUUAAAAUGAUUGACUUAUGGAGUAAUCACUUUAAUAUGUGCUAACAAACAAGUUCUACAAGUUCUAUUGUCUCUUACAAUGUUAGGACUUCUAUUUGCAUUUCCUGAUUUGCUUUUGUCUUACCCUGUAUUGCGAGCCCUAAUAAGCCAUUUCUAGAAAUGAUACAUGAAUCUUUUAGUUGAUUACAUAUGCCUUUCAAAGUUUGGACGAAGUUUGGAGGCUGUAAUCAAAAUCAAAUGCAAAAUUUAUUCGUAACUAAUUAUUUUAAAAGUAUGGGUUAAAUUUGUAAAAAUAUUGAAAACAUAAGCCCCUUGUGAAAAUUGGCCCGAGCCAACACUAGGAAGGCUUUGCAACCAAUUUCAAGACUUGAGGGAGCAUUGUGAAAAUUGAGAAGUCAUGGGGCGAUUUGCAACAAGUGCCAAGAUCUAGAGGGACGGGGUGUAAUCCAUUCCUCAAAUUCCGAUGCCGCGAAACACUUUUUCUUUGCAAUUUUUUUUUCUUAUUUCUAGUUUGUGGAGUUUUUUUUUUUUUUGGUAAAGACACAGUUUGUGGAGUUUUUCUUCUGCACAUAAUGAGAAAAAUACGGACGCGAAAUAGUUUUCGAUGAUGAUGACCAUAUUUGGAAUCACUUGUCGCCGGAUUUUAACCGUUUUGCCUAUACAAAAAGGCAAAAAGAAGAUUUGCCCACAUGUCUAUUGAUUUUGAUUUUAAAUAAGAUACACUAUGACAACUAGACAAAGUAUAAUGUUGGCCUAUGGUUGAUAACGUCGACUCAUCUUUGCUUAAAGUAUCAUGAAACUGUCAAGCUCUCUUUUUGAGUUUAAAUGUGACGUAACUUUAUGGAAGGAAAUCAUACUACUGGCUAGCUUUUGAAUCUUGGGAUCAAUAAAUGUUUAGAUGCUAGGUUCUUUUCACUUCAUUCUGGAGAGUAACUCCAUGUUUUAUUACUAUUAAAAAAAGAAGAAGGAAUAGUAGGCUCUUGACAUUAAUAUUUUGUAUUUGGCUUUACCCUUACUUUCAUACAAAAAAUAAAUAAAUAAGAUUUAAUUAGCACGGGUGCUAUGAAAGUUAUUACCAUGUGGGCAAAAUCGACACUACUACUAAGCUUCUUUGUUUGGUGUCUUCCGCAGGAACCAAAUUUUCUUUUGUGUUGGCAAAAACUAAACUAUUCUUUAACAAUAACGAUCGUAUCGAUCACAGUAUAUGCAGAGGUUGAUUUAAUUAAACGGAUUGAAAUCUUAAUAGAAAUCGAUUGAAACUUUUACUCUACAUAGAUUAGAGUGAAAAUAGAAGUUGCAGCUCCCUACACUUAGAUCUCCACCUAUCGUUAGAUCAAAUUUGAACUAGGAUGGAAUGAACAACUUAUGAGCAUUAGUGUGGUUUCACGUAUAGUUCCAUGAAAGAAAAUGCAAAAUCUGUAAAUGUAUCUCUCAUGGAUAAUUUACUUGGAAUUAGAUCCUAAAAACUGGUGAGGCUUUGAUAAAUCACGUCUUACACUAUAUAGGAGUAAAUAUACCUGUUGAUAAUAAUUGGGGCUAGGUAGAGAGAGAUUUGGGAGAAUGACAAAAGAUAGAUUCGUGUAGCCUUUAAUAGAACUUCAUGAGCAUUGACGGAUUGAUUGAGUGAUUAAAUGUUUGAUUUGGAUGCAAUAGAUUUCAUAUUCAAAUGGUAACCUCAGAGGCCAUACCUGUAAUCUAAUACACAUAGAAGUGGUGGUUUGCAUUCAUAUGUGGGAUCAAUUGAGCCAAAAGGGUUGGAUAUCACGUUUUUAUAAAAAAAAAAUCAUAAGAAAAUUUUAGACCACUGUCCAACUAUCUUUAAUUCUUAAUUGAUAUGGUAUGGUAAGCACUUGGUUAAGAAGAAUUCCAGGGCAGACGACUCCUACAUUUUGCGCUUUAGAUCUGGAUCGUGCAAGCAAGAACUCAUGCAAACUAACUCGCCUUAAGUUAGCGAUGGUUUACUUGAUACUACGCCAACGAAAUGGAAUCUGCUUAUCAAAGGCCCAUGAGUCAAUUGAUUUUCAUGAGUAAGAACGCAGAUGAAUGAGAAAGGGCAGAUCCAGAGCAAUCCAAGCAACGGAAUGCAUCGCAUGAAGAAGAGAGAGGGCCAGCUGUGACAACGCCCGAAACUAAAAUAGCCGACGGGGCAUCCGCACCCUCAUUCAAGAGAUUUUUUUGGACAUUGCUUGCUUUUUCAUUGGAAAAAUAUUACUUUUUAACUUAUAGGGAGCAAAAAAGAUUCAGGCCAUUUGGCUUGACAAAGGCUCAGAAGAAACAGAUGACAAAGAGGAUCGAACAUACACAAAUGAACAAUUCAGGAAGUUAUUGAGGUUAAGGUUCCUCCAAGCGAGGGAUGAAAAUUUUAGCGGAGAUUUUGAGAAGCUAUUUCUUGAAUUAAGAUGGCUUCAGUGGACAGGAUGUCCUUCAUCUUUCGAGGCGACCAACUUGCGUAUGGAGAAACUAUUCAUGCUGGGAUUGACACAAAGUGCAAUUACAUAACAUUGGAAUGGAUGGAGCUCAAUCAGGAUAAGCCGGAACGACACAUCUUGAUGUCAUGUUUCUAAUAUUGAUUACUCCUUGACGACUAAUUCCCACUAUACUCUUUGUUCUUAUAGACGGCGAAGUGGCUCAAAGUUUGGAACCUUAGGUGUGGUCAUUUACCAUGUACUCUUGGCUAUCCAAAAUAUAGAAAUUCUCAUCCUUAAAGAAUGUGAACAUUUGGAGCAAAUUCACCCUUCUAUUAAUGAAUUAGGAGAAUUGAACGAACUUGUUUUGGAUUCGAUUGCUACAAAAGAGAAUCCUGCUAUUGUUUCUCUGAGGAAGCUAGAGAAGCUCAGUGCCAAGCGUUGUUUUGCUCUGGUUCGACUUUCGGACUCCAUAAGUCAUCUAGUGAAUUUGUUGACCCUCGAAUUUAUGUAAUUGUCAGGGAAUGGCCAAACUUCUAGGCAACAUUGGGUACCUCAAGAAGCUAUAGAGCUUGCCAUUUGGCGCAACUUCCACACUCUGUUGCCCAUCGACACAAGUCCCAAGCUCCAUUGGGAAGAUGGAAUCCAUGACUAAACUCGACCUAUCCAGCACAAACAUAACGUAACACUACCAUCUUCCAUAGGAGAUUUGCAUAACUUGGAAAUCCUGAAGAUUUCUACUAGAUUGAAAAGUUGCGAGGUGCAAUUGGAAGGUUGGGGAAACUCCUGCAAUUGGAUGCUUCAAGUUGCACUAGAAUAGAAGGGGAAAUUCCAAGUGAUUUUAACAACUUGUCUUCACUCGUGAAGCUUCUAACAUAUACAUCCAUUUCUGGCUUGCCAGAAGGCACUCAGAAUCUUUCUUCUCUGCAACAUCUUGACUUAGGGGGCUGCCAAAAGCUUCAAUCAAUGCCUGAGCUUCCUUCUGGGUUAGAUUUUCUGCAAGUCACUAAGAGUUUUUGCCUCCACUUUUUUACCAAAUUCAUCUAAGAGAACUCAUUGUUUAUGAUUGCAUAUCGUUGGAAAAUCUCCUAGAGCUUCCUCCAAGACUGUUGAAGCUUCACGUCACAAGAUGUGGCAAGUUGAAAUGCUUGCCAAGAUUUGAGCCUCGUGAAUGCCCCAAAAUGAUGCAAAGCAAACGCCGACACGUUGCAAUAUCCCCAACGACGUUGGCCAUAGCAGGUCGCGUGAAGUUGACUAAGUUGGAUGGCCUUGGACAAUGUGCAAAGUCCCUAAGAUGCAUGCCAAUGAGUGAGAACUAUGGAUCAAGCACUCCAUUAGAUAUGGAAGACAAUCUAGUCGAAGUUCAAGGUCUUGACAAGUUGAAGCACUUGGAAGAAUUGGAUGUAGAUUUUUGCUGUUUUAUUGGAAGACUGGACCUUCCAAAACCAAAUCAUCUGAACGAUUGAUUGCUAGAUAUUGCAAAAAUCUAGUUGAAAUUCGAGGCCUUUAUCAUUCAGAGUUCUUGGAAGCACUGCAUAUCACUGAUUGCACGUCCAUUUUGAGAUUAAACCUUGCAAAAUCAGAGCAUCUAAAGGAAUUGAAGGCCACAAAUUGCAAAAGUCUAAUUGAGAUUUAAGGCCUUGAUAGGUUGAAGUUCUUGGAAAAGUUGGAACUCUGGUCAUGCAAGUCCCUGGAAAGAUUACCAAAACUGUCGUGCUUGGAGACCCUGAAAGAGUUCAACAUCAACUGGUCCAUUGUCUGACCAAAAACAACGGAUGCAUUGAGCUUCGUGAUAUUGAGUCUGGAGAAUUUUUUGUCCUGCCAAAGCAUAUAUAUGGACGAAUGUCCAUCCUUAAAGAUAUUGCCAAACCUGUCAAAUUUCGAGAAUUUAGAGAAGCUCACCAUCAGGAUUCGCUUGAUAUUCACAUGAUGCAAGUCAAUCAAGACUUUACUAGAUUUGUCGACAUGUAAGAUGUUACAAUUUUUGGUGGCCCAAGACUGGGACAAACUUGCCGAACUUCGAGGACUUGAAAAUUUGGGUUUCAUGUAUUUGGAUGUUUCUGGAUGCGACUCACUGGGAGCAAUACCGAACUUUUCUAGAACACACGUCAUACAGGACUAUGAAGAAUGCCCAUAUGAUUAUGGCUUACCAAUGAUUGAAUUCCGAAGGUACUGAUGUGAUAAAUCAUGUAUUACAAUUGGGAGACAAUUGAUGCUUCCCUAAACUAAGGAAAAAGAGCAAGUAAAUUGUCGUUCUUCUUUCGAUUCGUACUAACUUUUUGCCAAGAACAUUUUCCUAAAAAAUCAGCUCUCAGAUUUUUCAUUAUGAUCCCGAAGCAUUGGAAUUUUAUGCUACACAAAGGUGGAUUUGUUCCCUUGAUGCUUGUCCCGGACAUUCCAACUAGGUGCCGCAAGUCCAAACAACUCCAAGAAGUCAGGAAUGACCAACGUACUAGCCACAAAGAACGAUGCUCAAAGCUUGUGGAGUUAGUAAUGCUAUCUUCCAUUUGCCUGAACUGAGUUGACCACAAAAUGCACUGAAAAUCUCAAAAAAAAAAAGAAAAAGAAAAAAAGAGGAAGGUAAUGUCUUUGAAGAUAGAAGAUAACAAACGAAUUCGUGAGGAUUGCAGCUACCGCUGCUUCCAGAGACUUUUCAUGUAAACUCCGGUGCUGCCUCUCUGUGAUAUGAUGACUAGUUCCUCAAAAAUUUGAUAUAAUGCCAAAGUUUUUGUAAAAACAGCGAGCUGUCUAUAUUGCCAAUUUUCCAAGACCACACGAUUUAUUCGAAAGUAUAAGCUAGCACAGGUUCAUUUUUCCUACUCUCAUAUCAGCAGCAUACCAAUGUCUGGUUUUCCAAUUCCCCAGGAAAUGAAGAUUUAUUCUCUUUGCAGGGGUUUAUACCAAUAAAUUAUCAAUACUCUUUUACAUUGCCAAAAUUUCACAGUUGGCAUCAAAACUGAAUUGCAUAUUAAGCUUAUUAUCGAUAAGAAAAUUAACGUUAGAUUCACUUAUAACGUCUCAGCUAGAGAUGUCCAUCACUUUUUUGACUCAGUAUAUUGAGAGGGAUGACAGUCUUUAUUGCUCAAGCUUUUCCUAGGUGUUUAUUGUUGCACUGAAAUUGAAGUGUAGCUGGAUAUGAUUUUUACUUUGCCAGAGCUGUCACUGUGCAUCAGCAACAAUUGGAACUCCAUAGAUUCCUUGCUGAUAGGAAUAUACACCUGUACCAUCAAUAUGGAGUAGUUUAAUGGCACUUCGCAGCAUGAUCAAGUGCCAUUCAAUGGCUGUCCACUAAUUUGCGUAAUUAUCGUACGGGUAUUUACAUGUAACUAUGUAGGGUACUUCCGUGCUUUUCCUCAUGAAAAGUGAGGGAAAAUUAAUUGCUUGCUUUAGUAUGGUUUGGCAGUUAGGAUUGCUGGAGACUCUUGAAUUACUUGAAUUACUCAUCUAGUUCCUGAUUUGCUGAAUCAUUAUCACUAUUUUCUUGCUAAAGAUUGGACAUCCUAGCGAUUUGUCAGCCGACAAUUUCUGCAUACGUGAGAUUUUUGAAAUUUUAGCAAAAAUAACUUCAAACGGCACUAAUGCUUGAAGAAAUCUUGUUGAAGUUGGAAAUGUUAAAUUCAUUUUUCUAGGACAUGAUAAUUGGCACCGCAUGUAGAAAUUCAUCCGCACUCCAUCCAAAUCCGGGACUGAUACAAAUUCUGUCUCAGCAUUGUAAGAAACAGGGGAAGCAGAGUAGAAUGGUACUAUGAAAUACUGAAUAAGAGAAACAUCAGGUGCAAUUCCAGAUAAAUGUCAUUUGACCAGAAUGCAGUUCCAAAUAUCAGUCGAAACCGGCAUUUCAUACGUGCAAGUUGCCCCCAAAGUCAUUGCCUAAUCAAUCCAAAGGCCAUUUGCACUUGCAUCCCGCAUCCUCUUUCUGUGAAAUUACUUAGCAUAAGGUGACAUCAAGCUUGGAUCUGCACUCUGCAGCCUCUUUCUGUUGAUAUUGUUAGAAAUCUGACAGCCUCAUCCAAACCUUUUUUAUGGUUAUUUUCCAAUUGAUUAUGGUAGAUAUUACAUCAAAACACUUUGAAAAUCACUUAUCAGGUUAUAGUUUUGCCUAAUUAGACGAAUGAUUCCAAUGGACCAAUGAUUAAAAAAAGUCUUUGGCUUUACCCUUGAGAGAACAUCGACAUCAACAUGUUGUUAGCAUUUAGCAUGUGACUAAGGUCUUUUGCGAACCUUAUUUUCCCUCCAACAUAACGUAUUUCGCAAUAGUAAUCUUCAACAUAAUAUGCAUUUUCUUUGUGGCGUCAUAGUGGGCGUACAGUUUCGUAUGGUCUCUUCAAAGUUUUUCCCUGAUAAUUCAGUAGAAAUUGUUAUCAGAAGUUGUCUCUGGUGCUGUGUUUUGUGUCCGAACUUCUUUUGUUCGUCUACUACUCUACCUCAUUCUCCAUUAAAAAAAAUAAUAAUAAGUACAUACAAUAGAAGUUAGUCUAAUAUCUAACAAGUUAAAAGUUAGCAUACCUAGAUUUCUGAAAAACGAUUGCUUGUAUCUCAAUCGCUCUGAAGAUAUUUUCCAAAAAAUAAAUGAUUUGGAAAAUACAUCUUUUCUCAUAUGGGCAUAAUAUAAUUCGAGCAAAAACAUUAUGCCCAAAAGAUUGAAGGUAUACCAUGGAAUCAAGCUACUUAUGGGCUUCAUAUCAUCACAGAAGGAACCUUUAAACCAUGUAGAGGUCCUCAUUGUCCCAAAAAGUGGCAUGUGAUUUUAUGCCGGAAAUGGAGUACUUGUGUGUGUUUUUGUUGGUAGCCAUCACAACAUCGAGGCACCAAAUUGCAUUGGUAAAUUGAGGCAUCUACUUUAUCUCAAUUUUUCUUAUACUAAUAUCGAAAGGCUUCCUAAAUCAAUUGUUCGACUGCACAACCUAGAAGCUUUAAUGUUGCGUGGUAAUGAAAAUCUUACCGAAUUGCCUGAAUAUAUUGAAAAACCGNNNNNNNNNNNNNNNNNNNNNNNNNNNNNNNNNNNNNNNNNNNNNNNNNNNNNNNNNNNNNNNNNNNNNNNNNNNNNNNNNNNNNNNNNNNNNNNNNNNNUGCUAUCACUUUUUAUAGGUAAUUUUGGGGGUCUUGAGAUGUGUCCAAAUUUGUUGUGGGAACCCAAAAAUGGCUAAAGGAGUUGUAGAUAAUGCCGAAUGCACCUUGUAGGGAAAUUAUUCACCUCCAAGUUGCUUAAGGUUGGAGAGCAGGUCAAUUUACCCACGAGGGACAGAAUAUGCUAGUGGACCAUGUAGUGAGUGAAGAUUAUGAAAAUUUCCUGAAUUUGUUUGCAAUUUUAACACAAUGAUUAACUUGAAAGAAGAAGAAUAUACAUUAAGAAUCAUAUUGGAAAAAAAAAGUACAAGAACGACAUUGAACAAAUUGUAAAAGUACAGCGACCGGCGGUUUAUUAUCUCUAAAGUUUUUGCACAAAUUUUGUGAAGAGAGUCUCCUAAAGAUUUUGUUAAAAGUGAAAUGUAUUGCUUUCUAUUCUUUUUCCACAAAAUCAAGGCAAUGACACUUUCAAGAAAAUGACCUACACGUCUCAAUAUCUUUUCCCGUUUCCACAUGCAUUAUUUUCUCUAACAUGGCUCUUAGAGAGUAUCAUCAUAUAAAAUUAGUCUUCACUAUGAAUUACAUUGACUCUUACACUAAUAUUGAUUCUUUAUUGUUGGCCAAAGGCCUAAGUGUAGAUUAAAUGCCUCUCAUCAAAAGACCAAUUUUCCACCUGCAUUAUUCUAGUGCAUUUUGCCGUACGUCACAUUUGAAUUGUUUUAACUCAUAGAUACUUUAACAUUAUGCAAUGAAAGGCUGAGAUUUAUUCUUUAGCGGUUCAACAGUCAAUGAUCUUUUAGGUGAGGGCAGGCCAGGUUCCCUGAAUACAUAAUAGAAAAAUGAGUAAGGAAUAAGUGACACGGUUGUCGUACCACAUAAGUUGCGUUCAUAAGGUUGGGUUGUACUACACCCAAGCGGGGAGGCCCGCUAAAAAGGAGCCAUAUAAGAAGCAAAUAAAAAAAAUCAUAAUUUAUUUUUUUAUUAACAUGAAUUACAUGUGAAUGUGGGUCGGACUCAUUAAAGUUUAUAUUGAAUCAAAUCUUGUUACUUUAAAUUCACAACAAUCUUUUCUUUGAAUUUUAACUAAACCAUGCUAUUUGGCUAAUUAAAUGUGACUUAGACCACGUCAACGCUUCUAGUGGUGUAAGACUUAUAUUUUAAUAAAUAAGGAAAGUAAAGGUUGUUCAUAUUCACUUUGAUAUUCGCGACCAUGUAAUCCUAUUACAAAGAUAACUAAUGAAAGGGAAGGGCUAGUGGGGUAAAGAAGUAAAUUACCUUGUCAAAGACGGUAAGAUUAUGUGUGUCCCGAGCACUUUGGCUCAUCUUUUAAGGCAAAGAGAAGAAGUAAUUUCCAACGUAAACACUUUCACGAAAGUUGCCGAGCAAGGGAGGUGAUUGUGUGGCUCUUUAGUAGUACCAUGCAAAAACUAAUUUUUCAAUGUGAACACGUUGACUCCAAUGUAAAGUAUUGAGUUUUUCGGUUAAUGGGGUCGAGAAAAGCUAAAGGUCACUUGUCUUGAUUUGAUUGGUCACGCGGACUAAUUGCAAAGAGAAAGUAACAAAAUAUCCUCAAAAAUCUAAAGUGAGUGAGGUAGUCUUGCUUGAAGGAGAUGAUUAACUUUCUACACCUUUUACACAAACAUUAUAUAUAUACAUACAAAAUUAGAUUUGGACUAUUGAAGAUAACAAGAUUUAUGUAAGUUUUAUAUGAGCCUUGUUAAAUUUAACAGUCUAAGUUCAUUUGAUAAUAUUUUUAUUCUUGAAAAAAAAAUUUGUUUAUAAAUAAUUUGUUUAUUUUUAUUUUCGAAAACAAAGAAAUAGAUUUUUAUCUUUUCGGUUUCAAAUUUAUUUACUGAUCACUUUUCUAUUUCAGAUAAUAGAAAAAUUAGUUGAUUUUGUCAAAUAAUUUUUUUUUGACGAAAAAAAAGAGCAGAAAAAUAUGAAAACAGGAUGGGUACGCCUGGAUAAUCACUAGAAAAAUGGGUACGGAAUGACUGACAUGUCACAUGGACACUGGUCAAAGGAACAGGCAAAGCUCACGCGGUUCUCGUACGACAUGAGUUGGCCUACACAUGUUGGGUGGUGCCAGACUAGAGCACGAGGGCCCAUUAAGAAGGAGCCAGGAAAAAGCAAAUGGAAAAAUCAUUACUAUUUUAUCUUUUUUUUAUUAACAUAAAUUACAGUUGAAUGUAGUUUAGACUCAUUGAAUUUCUAUGUAGUUAAAACUUUUUACUUUAAACUCAUAACAGCCCAUCCUUUAAAUUUUAGCUAACUCACUAAAUAUGAGUUAAUUUGUAGAUUAUUUUUCAACUCAUUUUAACGCCAGCAAAAGACUUCCAUUUCCACAGCAGAGAAAGCAAAAGGUUGCUCAUCCACUUUGAUUUGCACGGCUAGGUGAUCCAAUUACAAGGAGAUCUGACAAAAGGUGAGGGUCAAAGAAGCAAAUUGCCUUUUUAAAGUUGAUCGUUUAAUUUUUGUUAAGAAUUUUAAUUGGAUUUAAUUAAUCGAAUCAAAAUAAUCCCAAAAAGUGACUUUUUUUUUUAUCAUCAGAACUUAACCAAAUAAAGAAAAUACGGAAUUUCGAUCCGUUUCGGUUCCGUACAAAUUACCACACAAAAGACGGGGCAAUCCACGGCAAGAAAGUGCGUGGAUCAGGAGCAGGUCUGGCUCAUCUUUUGAGACGAGAGAAGAUGCAAUUUCCAAUUCGAACGCCUUGCGGGACGUUGCCAAGCAAAAGUGAUGGCGAUGAUUGUGUGGCUCUUGCGGAGAAGCAACCAAAAUAUCUUUAAAGUCUACGGCGAGGUAGUCUUGCCAAUUUCGAGGAAGGAAGGUUUGUUUCGGUGGUCUUGGUCAAAAAGGUGAAGGUAAAAAAGCAGUACAAUUGCCGCGUGAAAGAAGCGCAAUCCUUUCCACAAGAUUGCGCGUCUCCUUCGGGGCAAGAGUGAGAAGUAAAAGCUUUAUUUAAAGUCCCGAGUGCUAGUAACCCAGGAGCAGAAACGCCAAUCACCGUAAGUCACUUGAGACGCUCGUCUUUCGCUUUGAGAUAUCUGGCUUUGAUAGCUCUAGAUUGAGGCGUGAAGGUGAUCUCAUAAUUGUGCUGCUUUUGAGGCUCGGACACGACUUGAUGUGCUUUAAGGUAACUCUUUUUCAGACAUUAAAGCCCAUCUGAGUAAUUCCGUCUCUGCAUCACUCCUCCAGAUGAGCCGGAUAGUCUAUUACAUUUUUGAUAGAAGAAAAUAAAAACAUUUGCACCGCAUCUAACAUCCUUAAAAGCAUGCACAAUAUAACAUGUGAAAUUCCAUCGACUUUUUCAAAAUCACAGUCGUCACAUUUAUUGUAGAUUUUUCUUACUACGUUACCCUUUAUUCAAACUGAUCACUAUGAGCGGUUGGACUGGUUAAAUUCGGGGGAAUUUAAUAGUUCCUACUACAAUCUCUCUCUCUCUCUCAUAUUUGUCACUUUCUGAACCUUUUACAUCGGUCCUCUCUCUUGCAGAACAGUUCAACGCUAUCAUCUACAGUCCUCGCUCUCUCUCUUUGUUCAUUUCCCUCUUGAAAGUUCUCGCCGAGGCUUGUUUAGGGUCUUCUCUCUUCGAGCUUGCACCUCUCUUCGCAUCUCAGCUCGCGGAAGGUAAUCGUUUUUUCAUCUCUUAUUAGCGUGUCAUCUUUGUUGAUUUGUUGCGGCUGACCUAGUGUGCAAAGUGUAUUGGGCUCUUUUUGUCUAAUGUGGGAGGCUGCUAACGUGGUGUGUCACCAGCUCAUAAUCGACUUCUGUAGAAAGGGAAGCCUUUGCUUUCGACUUUAGAUGUGACUAAUCAUGUGGCCUCUCUGUCUCAUUGUUCGUUUGCAUCGCAGUUCAUUGUCCAUCCUUUAUUAAGCUAGAAUGAGUUAGAAUGCCAGCACACUAGAUUCUUUUUUCUUUUUUUUUGGGGUCGAUAAAGCACUUACCAUUGAGUUCGAGAUCAUUACAUAAUAAAACCGAAACUGAAAAUGGAUAGGGCAGAUAUAAAACCCAAUUAUGAGGAAGGCGGUUAUCACGAUAGGCUUUUGCUACCCGGUUGGCAGGCUUGUUAGCUUUUCUAGGUGCAUAAGAUAUUUAGAUUUCUUGAAGUUGGGCCAGCAGCACUUUGGUAUCUUCUAUAAUUGGUUGCACCGUCGAUGGGCUCGGAAUUAAGCCCAUUAAACUUUCCAUCACAACUUUGUUGUCAGAGUGUACUUCGCACUCGUAGGUUAGUUCAGGCCAAGCCGAAGACUUUUCCCUCUUUCCUGCUAAAGACUCAUUUCUCUUUCUUGCCUCUGCUAGCUUCAACAAAGCCGCACGAAUGGCCAGAGCCUCCGUUUUUAGGGCUGAAUUAGCGGUGAUUUUCUCCACAAAACUGUCUAUUGCGCACAAAAUUGCCAGUAUUCACCUCAAACCAGGGACCGUCUUUUAAUGGGUCGUGAGGUUUCUUUGUCUAUGAAGGUCUAAGAUAAAUUAAAUAAAAAACGAAACAGAAAAGAAAAAGUAGUAGGCCGGUUUGCGGCCAAUUUUGGGAUCAAGGGGUUUGAUUUUCAAUUUCGAAAAUUGGAAACAGGCUUUGAUAGGAUAGGUUUCAGGUCUUGUUUCGGAAUCUACACACUAUAAAAGUAAUUAUUCUCUUAAUUGGAUUUUAUUCGACAAUUUUGCCUCCCAAUAGAACAUUCAAGACAAAUAAUAUGAUGUCUUCCUUGAAUUAUUGGACAAGAUAACUCAUUCUUCCUUCAGAGUCUUGAAAAUUGACGGAGUCAGUUAACUGAAGAAAGGGUUAACACAGUUAACUGAAGAAAGGGUUAACAAAAAAAAAAGUUGAAUGAGUUAAUAUGCCUAGGUUUGAGUAUUUUUAACUCUAUUGCUGCUUUUUUUGAACAAAAAAUGAAAACUAUAUUGCUACUUUCUACCCGCUCUCCACUCAUGAUAGUUUCAAUCAUCACAAUACAAAACAUACCAAAAUCCAUAUUAUGAUGACUUCUUUCACCUUUGUGUCUUUCUAAAAUUGCAGUCAUGGUAAAAUCUUAAUUUACUUAAUCAUAGAGACUCCCAAAUACAUGAAUUCUUUUAAAAUAGAAUAGAAGUAGAUAAUUGAGGGCUUGUUAUUCAACAGUAUAAUAUGAUUUAUAUACCCGUGUCAAUCAAUAUCCAUAUUCACAUAUAUCUAUCUAUGAUCUUUUCUUUAACUUCAUACCUUUUACAUGCUAUUCAAUAGGAAGAAAAAUAUCUUAUGACACACACGUGAAAAUGAUCACAUAAAUUGAGGCAUACGCGCAUAUUAAGAGAUUCACCAAACUUUAUAACACUCAUUUCUUACACUUCUUAUUACAAACAAUAAAUUCGUUUUUCAAAAUGUGAUUAAUCAAUUUAACUUGGUUUAUCAUGAAUUUAGUCAAUAAUCCUACUCUUCUUCCAUUUAGUUGAAGAAAAAAAGCUUUGCGGUGAUAUUUUCAAAGUGGGGCGUCCAACAAAAAUGGGGACAAGCACUCAACGUCAUUGUUUCAAACCUUGGUCGUCUCUUAAUUUUCUUCAGGAGCUUCCUUUUACUUCCUUUCUUCUCUUCUUCUCCUGCUUCCACCGAAUCCGUACAAUUUUGUGUCAUUUCUAAUCGGUCAGACUAACGUGGAGAAGGGGCAAAUUCAGAGCAAGGCAAACAAAGGGCUGCAUCGUUUCGUUUCAGAUCGGUUCCUUUGCGGUGCUUCUUGCGUCUAUAUGCUUGUAUUCAAACAUCUCACUAAGAAGAAAAAGAGUGCACUGAGGGAAUCUGCCACUCCGUUUGAUGCUAUCUAACAAAUUUAUAGCUUUAGUUCUACAGAUAAGAUAUCAAUCAAUGUUUAAGAUUUGAGGAUUUAAAAUGAAAGGCUCAGUGAUGAUAUACCGGUUCAAAAUAAAAUAUUUAUACAUGGAAUUAUAGCAUGUGGUGUUGGCGUGUAAUGAGUAAAAGAUAAAUAACCAUGAGCAUUUGUUUAUCCCUACCUCACAUUUUAACUUCAUUAAAUAUAUGACAAUUUUAAACAUAAUUUAAAUAUAAAAUCACAUCCAUAAUUACUAGCUCAGUCCUUUCUUGACUUCUUUCAAGCAUAUCUAAUUCUGUUUCAACUCAAUUAUUAACAUUUAAAUGAUUUAUCAAAUUCUGAUUUUCUAUAACCAAAUAAAAACCAAACGUAUGCUUAUGUUUUUAGUCGAAUGCAAUAUACUUGUACACAGAUUCCAGUUCUUUAUAGCCUAAUUGAAAAAUUAAUGUACACGUUGUUCGUGAUUGGAUCAAGCCAACGAGGUUGACUUGACUAGAGGAUGAGGUCCAAAAGAGGAUAUUUAAAAGCAUAGAAAUUUAAAAAUAUUUCUUUUAUCACACUAAAGGCCCUAAAAUUAACGUACAGGUUAAUUGAAAAAAUUUUGGACCCACAUUUUCAGGGAAAUACUCUUAGAAAAGCCCUAGUCAAUAUCUUCUUUCAUUUCUAUGCACUUUUAGAAAGAAAUAAAAUGUCGGCCCAAAAGGAAAUAUUUCCCCUCAAUUUAAAAUCAUUUUCAUCAACUUCCUUCAUAAUUUAAACAGCCAAACAAAUGAAAUUUUUUCCUCAAUUAAUAUUUUAGUUUUAGUUAAUUUUACAUAUGAGCAAUGCCUAAAACUUGAAUCCUGCCAAUUAAAUCAUGAUUGAUGGAAAUUUUCUCAAAUUAGGAAAGUGCACGCAUCUGGAGAAUGAUGUCCACUGGGCAACAAUUACAUGACACCACAUUAGUUUGGCCAACCGAAAUGGGGUUAGUAGAAAGGGUUGGGAAAAUGAGGUGGUGAAGAUAAUGAGGUUUGUUUGUAUAUUAGGCUAAAAAUAGUAAGAGUAAGGUCGAAGACUAUUAUAAGGAUAAGAUGUCGUGGGAGUUUAUAUUUGGUGGAAGAUGGUUCCAUGGUAUCUCCUAUUUCNNNNNNNNNNNNNNNNNNNNNNNNNNNNNNNNNNNNNNNNNNNNNNNNNNNNNNNNNNNNNNNNNNNNNNNNNNNNNNNNNNNNNNNNNNNNNNNNNNNNNNNNNNNNNNNNNNNNNNNNNNNNNNNNNNNNNNNNNNNNNNNNNNNNNNNNNNNNNNNNNNNNNNNNNNNNNNNNNNNNNNNNNNNNNNNNNNNNNNNNNNNNNNNNNNNNNNNNNNNNNNNNNNNNNNNNNNNNNNNNNNNNNNNNNNNNNNNNNNNNNNNNNNNNNNNNNNNNNNNNNCCCCCUCUCUCUCAGGAGCACGAACUUUUUUCAGCAUUUCCCUCUCAGAUCGCCAUGGAUAAAGGGCAAAUUCAGAGAAAGAGAGAGAGAGCACAGAAAGAGAGCACCGAGGGAGCAUCCACUUCUUCGUUCAUCUCUCCAAAACUCACAGGACAAGGUGACGAUGCAUAUGAUGUAUUCUUGAGCUUUAGAGGCUCAGAUACUCGUAAGGAAUUCACCGACCACCUCUACAAUAGACUGGUCAAUACAGGGACUGUGUCUAUUUUUGCGUUCAAGGACGAUAAGAGCAUCCCAAUUGGUGAGGAUUUUAGUUCACAAAUUCUUGGUGCCAUCUCACGAUCUAAGAUUUCAAUCCCCAUCAUCUCCGAAAAUUAUGCUACUAGCAAAUGGUGCCUUCGUGAGCUCAUCCAUAUGAUGGACUGCAAGAAUAGUGUGUCACACAUAGUGUUGCCAAUUUUUUACAAAGUUAAACCAUCAGAUGUGCGGAAUCUAGAAGGAAAUUUUGGGAAUGCCUUCCGUUCGAGUCAGGAGUAUUUUGAUGAGAAGGAUAUCCAGGAAGGGCCGUGUGCACUUAAAGAAGUGAGUUACUUACAGGCGUGGGAGUCCCAGAAAUUUGCUAACGGGUACGUACAGAACAUUUCUUCCUUUUUUUUGGUUGGGGAACUUUUCCUUUUUCUUUGAUAAGUUCUCUUCACGCAAAACCAAUGAAAUGCAGAUGUAUUACUUGCAUUGAAAGCUCAGAAAAGAUCCCCAAAAUGUCCCAGUAAACAACCCUAAUGGGUCGAAGACUAGCAAACACUAGUACUUCCCAGGAUCUCGUGAAAACUAAACGAACGACAACUUAAGCCAAAGAUCCCGUAGUGCCCAAGAAUUUUACAUUUGUCUCCAACACAAAGCCAAAAAACGAAAGAAACAACCCCUUCAGCCAAUACUAUGCCCAUAAUGGACCCCAAUGCUGGGUCUUGAUCGCUACCAGAUAACUUAGACCUCAUUAUGCCAACGGGUUGGCUCGGCUGAGAAGGGUUGGACAAUUCCCAUUUACCAUGUUUAGGCUUGAUUUCCAAUGCCAGUAACCCUCAUUGGUAGGCAAUCUUGGGAUAGCCUCCUCUCCUCCUAGAAUUUUUUAACCAAAAAAAAAUAAAAAAUGGACCUAUCUUUGAACGGGCAACAACCUCAAUCGUUAUAAUGAACAUUAUAGUUUGAAAGACUCUUCUUGAGCCAUGUACAUCACCUUAUUUUAUUUCAACAAGAUCCAUCUAUUGGCAUAAAAGGAUAGGGUAAAAAAAAUUGGAAUGACCACUACUCCAUCUUCCCCCAUUGUUAUGCGUAAAUCCAAAACAGCUUGCAUGUUAAUUGGCCCCAUGCAUCCUCAAAUAUAUGCUGGUCUUUGGAUGAGAUUAAGUAUAAUCAAGUAGUUAUCAAUGAAUUUUGUUGUUUGACAGGCAUGAAGGAGAAUUAGUGGAAGAAGUGGUCAAAAAGGUUUUGAGCAAAUUGCAACAAGACUUUCAGCUUGAUGUUACUAAGCACUUAGUUGGAUUUGGGGAUCAUGUGAGCAAAAUCAGGAAUUGGGUAGACACUCCUGCCAAUGCUGCUCGAAUGAUUGGAAUCUAUGGCAUGGGUGGGAUUGGAAAAACAACUCUGGCCAAAUCAAUCUACAACCAGUUGUUGGAUGAAUUUGUACAUCAUAGCUUCCUUGCUAAUAUUCGAGAAAUGGUUCAACACAACGGUAUUCCUUAUCUACAAAAUCAACUAAUUGAGGAAGUACUUCAAAUUGAAUGUCAAAUUCGGAAUGUUGACCAUGGAAUUAGUUUGAUUAGAUCUAAAUUCAAAGGAAAAAAGGUUAUCAUUCUUUUGGAUGAUAUAGAUAACAAAAAGCAACUAGAUGCUUUGGCUAGAGAGCGUAAUUGGUUUAUGAGUGGAAGUAUUAUCAUUGUUACAACUAGAAAUAAAGCUAUUCUUGAUCAAUCUGAAUUUGAGGUAGACUACCCAUAUGAAUUGAAUGAAAUGGGUAAGGUGCAUUCUUUGCUUUUAUUUAAGAGACAUGCAUUUCGUAUGGAUCAUUGUCCAACGGACUUUGAGGAUAUCUCUCAUCAAAUCAUAAUCACCAUGGGUGGGUUACCCUUAGCUCUUGAGGUUGUUGGUUCAUACUUGUUUAAAAAAACAAAUCUAAAUGUAUGGAAAGAUAUGUUGAAGCAAUUGAAAGAAGGACCACAUAAAGAUGUCCAAAAGAUACUGAAGAUAAGUUAUGAUGCAUUAGAAGAUGGACAUAAGCAAAUUUUUCUCGAUAUUGCUUGUUUCGGUUUUGUUAUCAGGGAAGAGAUCAAAUUCGCAAUGUACAUGUGGGAGGACUGUGGGUUUCGUCCAAGUCAAGGAAUAGAAGAAUUGGUAUUGAGGUGCUUAAUAAAAAUUGAAAAUGAUGGCAAGUUAUGGAUACAUGAUCAAUUGAGAGAUCUUGGAAGGAGCAUUUUUUGCCAAGGACAAUCACCUGAAAGAUGUAUUGGACCAUGGGUCGGCGAAGAAGCCUUCGGAGAACAAAUACUAGGAAAGGUAACAUCUGGCCCUCCUCUCUCUCUCACUCAUAAUUAUACAUAUAUAUAUUUUUAAUAUGAAUUAUUCUAUUCUUUAUUUAGUAUGAGGAAAUGCUCGUACUUUUUAGGAAAAAGUAUGUUUAAACAUCCGUUCAUGUCCAUUGUAGAUGAAUUGUGACAGCUAAUUGGGAUUAUAAGUGUCCCAAGGAUGAAAAAGUUACCUUAUUUGAUUCAAAUUCAUUGAUAUAAAUUACAUCUGUCAAAAACUUAAUUUACAAUCAAUUUAAGAUUCUUUAACUACGAUUCUGCACUAAAAAUCUGGUUCACUAAAAGCACGGAACUUUAUAUCUAGUUGAAAAUAUUAAUAAUCUGAAAAAUUACAGUAAUUAAUACAGAUGAAGCAUAUACAUCGUAAAAAAAAAAUUGCCAAUCAUAAUAAAUAAAAAUUAAGCAAAUCAGUAACAGUAAAGAAAAAUCAAUGUUUGAUAAACUUUUCCCCCAUUUUGAUCAUGAAAGUACCCGUCCCUCUACUAGUUUCAUCUAUCUCUUUUCCUUCUUCUUUCCUCUUAAUAGAUAUGAUGGUAAAAAAUCUCCUUAAGAAUUAUAUUGGGAAAACCUUACUAUGCUUUUAGGGUUACGUCACGUUGACCUUGUUCAUCUCAUGGACUAGGUUAGGUGUCUGACAAUCAGUGGAUCUUCUUAUUAUUUCUUUAAUUGCUUCUUUCAUUUCCAUUGUCCGUUCCUUCGCUUUUCCUAAUAAAAACUUCUUUCCUCUCCAAGUUGUUUUUAUAUUAUUUAUAUAUUUGGGACAACGCUCUUCUGUGCCAAAAACCACUGGACAAACUUGACUAUUUGGAGGAAAUGUCAUGCUUAUUAUUAUAUCGAUACUUUUUUAUUUACUAUAAACAAUUUUCAGCAUGAAGUCAAAUUUGAAAGUAAGUUUAGUUUUUACAUAGAUUGUCAAUGUUCAUGUCAUUUAAUUAUUUUAUAUUGUCCAUUUGGGGAAGCCUAGUUGGUUCAUGACUGAUCAAUGGCGGGGAAUUAGCCUUAGUUAUUAGCCAAGAGAUUGUGGGCAAAGGAAAAAGCUUUAUUUUCUUGAUUUAAAGUGAAAUAGUUCACACAUACCAUUAUAAAGAGCACACUCUUUUGUUGAUCCAGUGCCUGUUCUUAACAUUAGCACAAAGAGCACACCAUAUGGGUGCUUAAAAAAUGAAAAAGAAAAAAAAGAAGUCAGAAUUUGUUUGAACGGAGAUAAAUUUUGAAAGAUGCGAGGGACGUUAAUGUAAUUUGGAAAAUGAAAUAUUUAUGGGACUAAUUUCCACUCAUCUUGACCAUUUAAAUUAUUUAUAUCCUGUUUCUACAAUUCAUUUUGGUAAAAUAUCUGCUGAUCUUUUUUCUACGUAAUAUUCUGUAGGAUUAAUGUACGAUUGCAAUUUAUGAAAGAUAGAGUGAGAUGAUGAUUACAACAAGAUUUCGUGAUUUUUCCUGCAAACACACUUAAGAGAAAUUAUAUUCACCGUUGGUAUUUCAUUAGUUAAUAUACAAAGUACAAACAAUGACAAACGAGUCAAAUUAUAAAACUGAACCCGACUGAAAAAAAUUCUAUCUUUGAUUUCAUAGUGUUUGUGAAAGUUCUUAUUUCACAAAACAAACUUGUGUCUUCACGGUUUGGUUUAUUCUUAAUAUUUCCAAGAAACAAAAGAAAAAAAAAAUUGCACUUUCAAGUUAUGUUGAUGGGUCGAUAAUUUUAAUUUUUUUGAUGUACUAUAUCUCUUGCACUAUGGUAUCUUCUCUUCUAUGAUUGUACUUGGCCUUCUAAUAGCAUUCCAAAAAAAUAAAAAUAAAAACAAGAUAAUGCUUUCGAUUUGGAGCAAAUACUGUUCUAACAAAAUUUCACGUGAAAGAAAAAAGGUCAAUUAGUCAUGAACCCGUGCCAUGCAGAGGCACAAAAACUAACGUGAAUAAAUUUAGCGUGAAGAUAUAAUUGUAGUAUCCUAAUCUCUAUUGAAUCCAUGAGCUGUUUUCGUCAUUCACCUCUUAAAAUUGAAAACCACCAUCAAUCACCACUGCCCAUAUCUAAAUAUAGUUCUUUUUAGAGAAAGAAUUGUUCAUCGUUAGAAACUUACAAGUGGUGUCAUCGGCUCAAUCCAAUAUAAAUGGUGUGAAUUGCACCUGUCAUGUUUACUCUAUUUCUAAUAUAACAUAAUACCUUAAAUAUUAAAAAAAAAAAGAUGAGAUUUGUCUCAGUUUAGGUCCCAUCCAAUUUUACUAUAAGGAUUCUCCUACAAAUAAAAAGUGUGGCAAAAGAGUAAACUCCCACUUUUGUAUGGUACUUGUUCUCUAAUGAACACGUCCCACACCUUUAACAGUUUAAUAAUAUUCUCUUCAUCGACCCGUCGUAUCAUCCCCAAUCCUUAUCACCAUUCUCAUCUUAUUUUUAAGAGCUAAGUCACAAUGUCUCAUAAAACUAAGGAUAAUGUCAACAGAACACGCAAAUAGCAUGUGUCUAGAGAAUUGUGGACAUCAAGCAAACUCCAAUUACAAAUAUAAUACCAUUUCUAGGUCAAAUUUUGCUUUUGCGUGUCACAAAUGCAUUUUCUUGAAUAGUUCAAGGGGGGGCACCACUGGCUCAAAAUUACUUUGCUCUGGAAAUGCAUGUUGUUAUUAAAGUGAAUACUAAUUUCUAAUAUCUAAUUCGCCUCUUAAGAAGCAUGCCCAUGCUAAAAACGAACGCCAAUAAUUUACAUUAACAUACCUCUAGAAAACCUAUCUGACAAAAGUGGGUACUGACAGCUAUAUAAGUUCCAUAACGGUGGAAUACUCCACUCACUCUCUUUGCCAGGUGAGACACAGGCUUAAUUAAGUCCGACUGCACAGUUCAAACAGGGAAUAUCUGAACUUAAUGGUGCAAGGAAUUAAAUAUAAUGAGGAUAAUCUACAUUCACUAGCACGUUCCUUAACGACUAAACCGGCUGCGUAGGGUUGCCUCUCAGAAAUUUCAGCCGAAUCUUUCAAAAAACUAUCAACCGUACCUUAUUUUGCUUUGGGUAAAUCCUAAAGAACUUGACCAUAGGAUGAACUCCCAAGAAAAAACAACUCACUAGAUAUGGCUCCUUGGUGCUUAACCGAGCAUGGCUGGGUGUCCGCUUUUAUCGAGAAUCGCACUGCUAAGCCGUUCGUGCGACUGGUUGAGUCUUGCUGGAGGCCCAGCCACUGACCAGUAGCUUUGGCUACUUGCGACCUCUGUCAUGGACAUCUCAGCCUUGUUCCUCUGGAAGUCUGUGCCAUGUCAAACUGCAAAGUCCCUCGUCCACGGGUUCUUUAAUACAUAUUGAGUCGCGGCUUGAUGUAUCUGUGGUCAAGCUCGGGACGCUAAUCCAAUAAAAAGUUUAAAUAGAGUUCUGUGUGUUUGGAGUAAAUGCUCUUUUAAAAUUUCGGUGCUUGAACGUUAUCGGAUACUGUCACUGAUCAGCUAAACUUUCGGGGGAAAAAUAAAAAGUAUUGGCCGUCUGGGAUUUUGUCACCAUCUUUUAGUAAUUAAAUGAUCACCAUCUUUUACUAAUUAAAUGAUCUCUUUUAGCAACGAAGUUAAGCGGUACUUUUUGACUUAUGCAAAAAGAAACGGUGCCAGUCUCAGGAAACGGACAUACGUAUCUUCACUCUUUUGUUUUGGUAAAAUACACGAGUAGAUUUCUCCAGAAACUCUCCUCUGGCAGAGUUUGCCAAAAGAUACUGCCCAGCAACAACAACCUAUAUGUUAGAAAUCUUAAUCUAACAAUAACACCGAGAAAGGAAGUCAAUUAUUUUAUUUUUAGUUGGCCUAAAACCAACUCUUUUCCAAUUCCCAUCUAAAUCUAAAAUAUUAUUUAAAUACUAUCACCUUUUGAACAUACAUGACAAGAGAAGUUUCAUUUUUAAAAGCAAUGAUUAAACACUUGAUAAGAGAAUUUAACGAAUUGAGGGAAUCGGGUUCUUCCUUAGCUACUUAAGUUAUCCAUGGGCACUCUUUAACAUUUGUAUGUUUUAAAAGUUUCACGUAUUUCACCUUGGAUAAAAGUCAAAAUUCAUACAUUACAAGAUUCAGAAAAAGCAGAAGGUAAAACAUGUUUCGUUUUCAAUUUUUUAAAGCAAGAAGCAUUGUUGUUUUUGUUUAAAAUAUUGUUUAAAUUUCAAAAGAUUAUGAAUAUAUUAUAUGUGAGUUAAAAUGUCAACAUAUAUGCAUAGCGAGAGGUAAAAAGAUGACAAAUUGUGUAAGUCUAGGAUUUAGAAAACCAAAAAUAAAAAAUAAAAAGUCAAUUUAGACACUCGAUUGAUUUGAUAUGCAGGGGUCUCCUUCAGUUUUCCACAUGAUCGGAUAUCUUUGCCCCCAUGGCUGUCCCUCUACAUGCACAAGUGAACUGUUUAAAACCUUACUGAGCUCAAGGUUCCUUCAAUUGCACUGCAAGGCUUUAAGGGGAGACUUUAACGAACUGUUUUCUGAAUUAAGAUGGCUUCGAUGGUUAGGCGUUGAACCCAACAAGUCUUCUUUGGCAAUCAAUUUACAUCUACCUAAACUAGUGGUGCUAGAGUUGUCACGAAACAAGCUCACAGAGGAUUGGAGCGGAUGGAGUUUAAUCAUGGUAAGAUUGAAAAAAAAAACAUUCUCUGUGAUCUUUGCUUUGUAUUGUCUUGUCCAUUAAACUCCUUUUUUGACAGCUUAUUCUCCUUUGUACAGGAGGCAGAGGGACUAAGAGUUCUCGACCUUUCAGGUAGCGUUCAUUUAAAAGGUACUCCUAAUUUCUCAGCUUUCACAAAAUUGGAGAUUCUUAUGUUGAGCAAUUGUCAAAUACUGAAGAAAGUCUGCCCUUCUAUUGGCAAAGUCAAGAGCCUUGUUUCCUUGGACUUGAGAGGCUGUUCCUCUAUCAGAGAGCUACCAAAGGAAGUGGGUGAAUUGCAAAACCUAAAAGAACUUCUUUUAGAUCAAACCCUUAUUAGAGAGAUUCCUUCGUCAAUCAGUUCUCUGAGGAUGCUAAAGAAACUAAGUGCCUUGAAUUGUUGCUCGUUGGUUGGAAUCCCUUCAAUUGGGAAACUUACUUCUCUCCAACACCUCGACCUAGGUGGGUGUUGGUCAUUGAGAGAUAUCCCUAACUUAGAGAAUCUUUCUUCUCUCCAACAUCUUAACCUCUCUGAAUGUUGGUCAUUGAAGAAACUCCCUGACUCAAUUGGGAAUCUUUCUUCUCUAGAAUACCUUGACCUCUCUAAUUAUUUCGGUAGGCAUUUUAAUCAUCGACCUUUUUGCUCAAGUCCUUUAUCAUCGGGAGUACUCACUAUUUCCCAGGCGAACAGUUUUCUCGGAGAAGCUGAUCUAAGCCAUCUCAAGUUUUUGACAGAAAUCCCUUUCUCAAUUGGGAACUUACAGAACUUACAAUAUAUGGACAUUAGUUUUUCUGCUAUUAAAGGGUUCCCCCGUGCUAUUGGAAGGCUUGAAAAACUACGGAGGCUAAUUUUUAAAUCCAGCGAUUAUGAGAGAGUGGGAUUUAUAGAAACACUCUGUAAAAAAUUUCCUUCGCUUUUCAACAUCAUUCACACAUUCCAAUCUAUGCAGAAACGUUCUCUUCUCGAUUUUCUUCCCAGAUCCCAUGAUGAUCUCCGAGUGUUGUUACGGACUUCUUCCGGCUUAACAUAUAUUCAUGUCUAUUACCCGAUUUGCAGAUUGCCCCGGCUUUCUUGCCUAAAAGAACUAGAAGAACUUCAUCUUGAUGGAUGCAAUGAACUUGAGUACAUCCCAGAGCUUCCCCCAAGCCUCUUGAAACUUUGUGUUGACUCCUGUCCUAAGCUGAUAUUGCCUGAGUUUGACAAAUUCAAGUACUUGGAAGAGUUGUCAAUAAAACGCUACAAUUCCAUUGAAAGAAUGGACAUCUCAAAAUUGAAUCGUCUGAAAGGAUUGGACAUUGAGGAUUGCGAUAAUCUAGUUGAAAUUCAGGGCCAAGGUAAAUUAGAGUUCUUGGAGACUAUAAAUAUAUGUAGGUGCAAGUCCAUUGAAAGGCUGAUCCUUCCAAAAUUACAGUGUUUGAAGCGACUACAUGCUCUCUCUUGCAACAAUCUUGUUGAAAUUCGAGGUCUUGAUACAGAGUUGUUAGAGGUGUUGGAUAUCUCUGAUUAUCGGUUAAAUGCUGACUUGCCAAGCGUACUGCUCCCGAAUAAUAAGUUGGAAAAGAUAGUUUUAUCUGGCUUGUGUUUGAAGCAAUUAAAGGUUCACUCUUGCGAUAAUCUAGUUGAAAUGCAAGGUCUUGAUAAGGCAGAGUUGUUUGAGUCCAUUGAAAGAAUUCCUGACUUACCAAGCUUCGUGACCCUGAAAAAGUUGGAAAAGCUAGUUUUAUCUGGCUGCAGGUCCAUCAAGAAGCUGAUCCUUCCAGAAUUGGUGUGUUUGAAGCAAUUAAAGGUUGACUCUUGCCACAAUCUAGUCGAAAUACGAGGUCUUGAUAAGGCGGAGUUGUUGGAGGAAUUAGAUAUCUCUGAUUGUCGGUCCAUUGAAAGAUUACCUGACCUAUCAUGCUUCGCAACCCUAAAAGAGUUGAAUAUCAAUGAGUGUUACAAUCUACGUGAUAUUGAGAGCCUUGAGAGAUUCUCGUCUUGCCGAAGCAUAUAUAUAGAAGGGUGCAAUUCCCUAGAAAAAUUACCGAACCUAUCGAAAUUUGAAAAUUUAGAGCAUUUUACAUUGAUGGAAUGCUUUGUUACAGAGAUUCCUGGGCUCGAGGAGUCAGUAUCUCUGAAACAUGUAAGGAUUAUAGAAUGCAACGAAAUUGAGACUUUGCCAGAUUUGUCGGGAUGUAAGAAGUUGCAUGCUCUUGUGUUACACUGCAUGAAACUCACUCAACUAAAAUUACCUGAAACAAACGCGGCCUGUAGUUGUGAUCCAUGGUAUGAAGAUGUUGAGUGCAUUAUUUUGCGAUAAUAAUGAGGUGAUAAUUCUUAAGCUACAACAAUAAGACGCGUCAUGUUUCCUUAGUAGAGGUAAGCAAGUACGCUAGCAUUUUUUUUUUUCUGAGAUACAUAACCUACUUGUGAUUACUAUCUUCUUUUAACAAGGUCUUCCUUGACAGGUUUUCGUACUUUCCUGAAUUCCAAGUCUCACAUGGGGUAGUUGGUCGUGGAAGCUGACAUGAUGCUUCGGCCCAGAUAAAAUUGUAGAUCCAAGUGUGAUUCUUCGUACAUUAGAAGGCAUCGGUCGUCCGGUAAGAUUCUUCAUCCCUUAACAAUUAGCAUGAGCGAACAGAGUAAUAAUUUUCUCAAGGAUAUAUCAUUUAAGAAUUUUUGCUCAACAUUAGGUAUCGAUUUGAUCUGGAUUUGCCUAAAUAUAUAUCCUAUUGAUUGCAUUAUGGCAAUGUAUUUUCGGCUAUACUUUCAUUGGCAACUUUUGCAGACAGAUUGGCAGCUUGCGAGGCAACAAAUGAAAAUAUCAACAUAGGUAAACAAGAAUUACUAGCGAUUCACAGUUUCCCUCUUGGUAAACCUAAGAUGAAAUUUUUUCAUAAAGAGGCUGAUGAUCUACUACUCAAUAUUAUAAACUGCGCCCAGAUCCCUCUCUCUCUCUCUCUCUCUCUCUCUCUCUCUCUCUCUCUCUCUCUCUCUCUCAAACUAGCAUUUUCCUUAAAAAAAUCCUUGGUCAUUUUGAACUCCUUUUGUGAGCAGUUUUAUGUGUCAAAUUUGACUAAUGGUAGAUAUCCGGUUUAGAACAAACACCUCUCGAUUUUUCGUGAUGAUUGGAAAGCCUGUCAAGUUUCUUAUUGUUCAUUCAAGUAUGAAUUCUGAAUAAGGAAGAGAAACUGAGCUAAAAUAAAAAUCAAGGUUCAAGUUUUUCUGGUGGGUGAUUUAGCAAAAUGAAAAUUAGUUUUGGCUGGCCUGUUUCAUAAAUAUUUGUAGAAAGGCUUUCCAUAACCAAUUGCCGAAGUGUUGGUUUGAAAAAUUAUCAAGUGAAGUAAGUUGGUGCAGCUUUUGUGACAGCUCUGGCUGGUCUAUUUGAUGGUCAAGGCCUACCUUUGUACUUCAAUUCAAAUGACCUAUUGCAUGAUUGGAACAAUUUUUUGCCUGUUGUCUAAAACUAGCUAGGCGUGGCAUUUGUGAUUUUGCUAAUUAGUUUGCAUCCUGUUUGAUCCUGUUGUUGUCGUAGAAUCAUUUCAUUGCAUGAUUGAUCUCGGUUUGGCUAACUUGGCUUAGGAAAUUCAAAUUCCAUACCAGAGACCGAUCAAAAUGAAGAAGAGAGAUUUUGCCAAGGAAUCAUGAACAACAGCUGAGGGCAAGCUUUUGUGCCGACCUUAAAGAGGCUCACAGGCCAACUGGAGUGUCCUGAGGAAGUGUUUUAUACCUGUGAAGAUUAAAGCGCUUGAUCUGGUCUCAAAGGCACAUAACCGAGUGAUUGAGAACAAUUUUUUUUUUUCAAUUGAACCUGCUUUUGGUAUGCUUAUUAGGUUUUACUUAAUCAAGUAUCGAAGUGCUCAAUUUUCUGCAUGUUGCCCUGAUGCAGAGUUCUUUGAUGCAAUUGUGUUCUAAUGAUAUCAUUCCCGAACUCAAUCAGGCUCUGCUGAUAAAGGUAUGCACUGCCUGUCCUACCAUAACUAAUGAGAGAGUAACUUGUCUGCCUAUACUUAAUUGAAUGUGCUUCCUAUAUGCUUGUUAGGUUCUACCUCUCUGUUAAUCAACUACAUACCUACUGAUAUUCUGCGUGUUGACCUGACACAGGUGUCUGAUACUGUAUCGUUCUACCGAUAUCACUCUCAAACACAAUGAGGCUCUGCAAAGGUUGGUAUGCACUGCCAGAUAUACCAUAACUGUGAUAGAGUAACUUGUGCGCUUAUACUAUAUCAGCUGUGGAAUUUCACUGGAAAAUCCAUAAACUAGGAUGCAUGAUGAUAAUAUCCUCUUUUCUGUCAGUUUCUAAUAUCCUUUGCAUGUUGUGAUAAAGGUCUCUGAUACAACGAGCUUAGAUCUCAUGUAUGCGGUGUAGAAUUUGUUAAGUUAAAUGUAGUCUCCUAGCAAACAAUCCCUUAUUGCUGAUUUUGCUUAUUAGAUAUUGCAAAAUAACCAAGUGACAAAUGCAUCUUUCUGUUUUGUAGUUUGGGCACUUCAACUUUUCAACAUCGGUUCUGUUGCCAAGCACAAACAAGGAAGGUGGUGCUAUUUGCUUACUUCUCUCCUCCUAUGUUGUUUUCUUUUUCUUUGCUUGAUAUUGAAGUCUCCGUUGAGUGCUAUCCCAAUGCAAGCUAAUCAGAGACGCGUGUAAUGUGUAGCAAAAACAAUGUCCCCAGGUUUUGGUGUUGACACAAGUAUUUCAUUGAAGAGGAAAUUAAUAGAUCACCAGAAUCUGGACCAGGUCAAAGUAAUCUUGUUUAUAUUAAUGGACUCUCAAGUCUUUGCUUACAACUUUCAGCUAAUUUUGGACGCUCCAUACAAAAUACAUCUAAAAAUAGAAAGAACUAACCAAGGAUCAAUGCAGUCACGCCAAUAUCUCUCGUUGAGAUGAUUGGAAAGUGUAACACAGUUUACUCUCAGCCAUCUCGUGUACCUCAUGCAUCAUCCUCUUUUCUUGACCAUUUUUAACUAGUGCUCUGGUGGAGUUUAGUCAUAAGUCUCAUAAGGUUGAAUUUGCUAGUGUUCGUAACUUUUGAUGAAUAUGAUAAGUGAACCUGAAUUUAUCGUACAAUAAACAACCUGAAACUAUCGUACAUUCUUUUCCUGAAUCUUUUACAAGGUUCAUAUAAAGCUACUAGAAUAAUUAAUUAUUUUCAAACUCUCAUGGGACAACAGCUAUUAGGAAGCCAAUGAGUGUGAGACCCACUUACAAGGUUUAUAUUUGAUGAUGCAGAAACUUUUGCAUGACUUGCCUCGAAGGACACAACCAAGACAAGGCAACAAAAUCUCACCAAGGAAUGAUAAAGGCUGAAAGAAUAAGAGGAAGAAGAACUUUGCGCCAUCUUUUUUGUGAUCAGUCUUUACAACUUUCUGGUUGUGUUUCGUAAGGCUGUUUGAAAGUCUUUGUUCAUGAAAUUUUGAACCCCGUGUUCACUUUCUGGCAAAGAUCUUCAAUUAUUUUUAUAGAAGCCAUUGGUCAUCAUGGUCAAGGAAGAAGGAAAUGAAGCGGAAGAUGAAGAAGGUUUUAUUUGUGCAAUUUUGUUUAUUUCCUAGUUAGUAAUGCCAUAUGCCUCAACUGAGUUGACAACAAAAUGUGCUGAAAAUCUCAGAAAAUCGAAAGAGAAUGUAUUCCAAGUUCGAACACAACAGAAGGAUUGCAGCUACCCCUACUACCAGGACCUUAUGUGGACUCGGCUGCCGCCUCCUCUGUGGUAUAACUGGUAUGAUGAUUGGUUCAUGAAAUAAUUGAUAUAAUGCCAAAGUGCUUAUUUACAAGUCCCCUCUAUUCAUUCAGUAGUAUAAGCUAGCACGAGUUCAUUUUUUCAUUCUCAUAUCAGCAUUAGCAUCACAGAGUUGGGUCUUCCAAUUCCCAAGGAAUUGAAUGUUGUUUUUUGGUUCCUUUUUUUUUUCCUUUGCAGAGUUUUGUACCGAUAAACUGUCAACGCUCCUUGCGAUAGCCUUCGAUGAUUGUGGUGUACACGAUCCCAUCUAGCGCCCAGCCUCUUUCUUCCAAAUUCGUCAGCAAUCGAACGGCUUUCCUAUUAUUGCCGGUUCUGCACAAUCCCCCACCAUGACUCCGCAUGUGGCUAUAUGUCCCCCGAUUUAUCUGGCAACCAUUACAUCUGCCAGGCUCAUGGCUUCGGCAAUUUAAUCCUCUCCGACAAGGCCAUUGAUCGAAGUGUUACAGCGCACGGAAGUGGGUUCAAGUGCAAGUUCGACCAUUUUACACAAAACUGAGAACCCGGGAUCGAAUCUUUUCAAUUGGCAGAGGUAAUUCAUCAAAUUGCUGCGAGUAAAAACAUUGGGAGUCGUUCCUUUCGAAUCCAUCCGCUCGAUCAUGUCAAUGGUGACAUUCGAGCGAAACAGGGAGGUGAAGGCAAAUGGUUCAUCCGAAUCGUCCUCUUCAAGUAGAACAAAGAGUCGGCAGCUUCCACCAAUGCACCAUUUUUGCAUUUGUUCGCCAGAAAGGCCACAGUUCGGAUCAUGCUUUGAAGAUCGGCGCCGUUCUGACAAUUCUGGAGUACAAUAUUAUUUUGUUUCCUUCCCUUCCACCGAUAAAAGGAGAAGACGUCUGGAGCUCGAGAUGCAGCAAAAGGAAAGAGCUCAAGAGAGAGCGAAAAGAAAGAGCUCGAGAGAGUGUGAGAGUCGAGAGAGCUCAGAGAGGCUUUGUGCUGAGUCGAGUCCAUUGAGUUGUUUUGUUAAACACCGUGGGUAUCGGGUAUAAGGGGCUGGGAAACACUUGAGUGCAUGUGUGAUUGUAAUUCUGUAAUUCUCCGAUUUAUAGUGGAUAUAUUUGCUGACUUUCCUCGUGGACGUUGGUUCCGAUAUUCAGACCGAAUCACGUAAAUUUUUAAUGUCCUUAUUUUUCUUGUUCCUCGUUUUAUUUCGAUCGAUUUUUAUAACUCCCGUCAUAAUUGCAAAAUUACAAUCCGCUUCUGUUGCGACACGAUUACAACAGAGAGGAUGAUUGUUAGGCAGUCCAAUCACUAAAAACUUUAGAUGUCUGAUAAUAACAUAGUUUUCAGUUCAAUCAUCGGAAAUUAUUUUGAUUGUCAAACUGAACAUUUCUAGAAAUACUCUAACCGAUUCAUUCCCAUCAGUUUCGCAUUUUGCAGUUUGAUAAGAUGUUUGUCCCGAACACGUGCUUGAAUCUGCAAGGCAGUUGAAGAGAGGUCAGUAUGCAUAAUUAGAAUGGAUCGAUAUCUCACACAACGACGACGACUAAUACUAGUGGAGUCAAAGUAUGGCCUGUCGAAAUAAACGUAUCUAGCCUUAUUACGAUCAGCCAAAAAAAUGAGAAAAUAAUACGAACGUUGCUACUCUUGUCGUUGUGUGCACAGAACGUAUUACAUUAUAUCAAUUUAACAUUUUGUUUUUGGUCUAUUCGAUAUUAUUCCAUUCUACUUUCUUUCCAAUACCUCUCAAGGAAAAUCCCGAAUUGGAUUCAUAAAUUGAUGGGUUAGUGUGAGCUUAUUCAUGCAGUUAUGCACUCUUCCAAUAAGAAUCCAUGUUUUGAAAGAUCCUAGCCUUGAGGCAGGCAUCCUGUCUCAUAUAUUGCAAAAUGACGUCACCGGAAAAAAAUUUAUAUGUAUUUUUGGGCUGGAUGGUUUACAUGUGAAGUACAUAACUUCAUGAAAGAGCAUUAUAUUUCGUUCUUUUCUCCGAUGGCGUAGGUCUGCUUAUUCAGUGCAUAAGCUCUAAACAUGUAAAGACCGUGUUAAUUCACCUAGUUGAAGUGAGUUGAGGUGAGUAAGAGAUGGCUCAGACACCAAUUGGCUGCUAUAUUAGAAAAAAAAAAUGCUAAUGGAUUAAGAAAAAUUGUACGCUGUAAAUCUGGACUGCGAAAUCCAUUGUUUGUCUUUGAUAAUGUGGUUUUGCAAAAAUCGAUUCCAUAACAUGCGCUUAAUCCACAUGCGCAAGUUCCUUGUGAAUCACAAAACCAAUUGCAUGAGUAGUGUCAGGAAAAAAAAUCAUGAGUUAUGACAUUUGAAUGAACGAAAAUGAAAACAUUCUUUUUCCCCACCUUCAAAUUGUCCCCAUUUUCCCAGAGAGUAUAGUUUACAAUUCGUUUCUCAUCUUAAGGAUAACAAUCGUGCAUGAUAGCAAUCGUGCAUGAUAGCGCAAAACAGACGUAGAAUUUUAACCAAUAACUCCUUCUUUUAUGCUUAUCUUAUCAUCAUGUUGUUCAAUUGAGUAAAACACGCGACUAAUUAGCGAUUCCACAGUAUGAGGACAUGGAAAGACAAUAAUUUACAAUUUAACUAGACAUGAAACCGAACGUCACACGGAAAUAAAUUAUAAAAAGAGAAAACUAAUAAUUAUCAAUAAGGGAAUAAGUAUUGUAAAUGAUUCUUUUAUUCAUUUGCUCCCUAACAUAAAGGACCAUUUCAUGAAAGAACAUGAGUUGUCAAGUGUAAUUAAUGACAAUAAAAGGCAAGUCUUUGAGGUGAAGAGACCAUGACAAACGGUCCAUAAUGAAAUGUAAAUAUAUGCCUAGGUGGAGCUUUUUUGGUGGAGAAUACAAUAAAUCCGAGUUUUGCAAUAUGAAUAACACUUCUCUAGUUAUCUUAAAUCUUAUGCGUCAUUAUGGGAAGUGAUGCUUUAGCAAUACUCUGUUAUUACAUGUUUAUAUAGAAUGAGACCAUAUAGAAUUUGUAAUACCCUGUAACUUAAGGAUUCCGCAUGAACGUUUUCAUGGUACAUCGAUUUUUUUUUUCUUCUAGGUUUUGCCGGAUGGGGGAGUCCAGGUAAAAACUAGUUGUGCGAUGUAUGAGUCUUACCUAGAUCAUAAGACAAACUUCAAUUGAUGCAAAAACAACCCUUCACAUCAUUAAGUGGAAAGUAUACAAUAAUAGGUGCAAGAUAGACCCAGCUAGCUAAUUGCCGAUAUAUCUCAUAACAAAUUAGCAGAUAUUUCAAUGGAAAAUGCAUCUAAAAGUGUAAGAACUCAGAGAAAAUCUCAUGGAUCGAUGUAGCAGCAUAAUAGUUGAUUUUUUUGGAUAGAUUUACUUGCCAAAACUUGUCGGAAAAAGAAAUCCUACCCACAUAUGGAAGGUGCAUAUCGCCAGUUUUUUCGUUCGAUAUAUAUAUAUAUAUAUAUAUAUAUAUAUAUAUAUAUAUAUAUAUAUAUAUAUAUAUAUAUAUAUAUUCAGAGAGUGCAUGCAUCUUCCAAUUUUUUUUUUUUUUUUUUGUACAUCCAUGUACUAGAGAUUCUGCAUUGGCAGAUAGAAGAAGCGUUGUGCAGUAAUUUCAAAUUAGGGAAAAGACCAUAAAAAAAUCACAAACUUUAUCUAAAGUGGCAAAUUUACCUCAAUUUUUUUGUUUGUGACAUGAAAAAUCCCAAACUUUGCAAACUAUGACACAUUUACCCCAUCAAUGGUAUUUUCGUUUUUUUUUUCCUAUUUUUUCCUAUUUUUUUCUUUUUUUCUUCUUCUUCUCUCUUCCCUCCGCGGAGGGAAGCCCGUGUCUAGUGAGGGCUGCCCUCGCCGGCAUCGGGGGAGGGUCGCUCUUGUCAAACUUGGGCGAGGGGUGCCCUCGCUGGCACCGAGCGAGGGCCGUCCUCACCCAACGCAGGCGAGGGCGGCCCUCAUCAACCCUAGCUAGCCUAGGCGAGGGCGACCCUCACCCAAUGCUAGCGAGGGCAGCCCUCGCCGAAUGCUGGCUUCCCUCCGCCAUGGCCAGCAGAGGGAAGAGAGGAGAAGAAGAAGAAGAAAAAAUUUAAAAAGUAAAAAAACCAAAAUGUUCUCUAGUUUAGGGUAAAUAUGUUAUAAGGAUAGAAGUUCAGAGUUUUUUGUGUCAUGAAAAAAAGUUUAAGAUAAAUAUAUCACGGUUGGCAAAUUUCGGGUUUUUCAUGUCACAAAAAAAAGUUUGAGAUAAAUGUGUUAGUUUGAGUAAAGUUUGGGGUUUUUGGUGGUUUUUUUCCUUUAAAUUAUUGGGUGAAGUUAUGAAUCCAACAGUCCGAGGAUGGUAUAGAAUAGGUCUUGGAUGAAGAUACUAAUCAACAUCCUUUUGUUCCUAUACGUAUUUUCUAUUGGUUACUUUUUAAGUCAAUGACACGUGUACAGUUGCUACUACAUUGAGCAUUUCCAGAUAUGCAAAGAUUAGUGAAAAUGAUUAAUGUACGUUGUUGGGUCUUGUUUGGUUUAAUUAAUAAGAAACUAAUAAGUGAANNNNNNNNNNNNNNNNNNNNNNNNNNNNNNNNNNNNNNNNNNNNNNNNNNNNNNNNNNNNNNNNNNNNNNNNNNNNNNNNNNNNNNNNNNNNNNNNNNNNAUUUCUUUUUUACUUUCCAGGGGUUUAUACCAAUAAAUUGUCGAAUCUCUUUUUGCUUUGUCAAAAUGUCACAGUCAGCAUUAAAACUGAAUUGCAUUUUAAACUUAUUAUUGAUAAGAAAAUUUGACAGUAGAUUCACUUAUAACGUCUCAGCUAGAAAUGUCCAUCAGUUUUCCGACUCAGCUGAUUGAGAGGGAUGACAGAGUCCUCAUCGCUCAAGUUCUACCUAGAUGUCUGUUAUGGCACUGAAAUUGAAGCGUAGCUGGAGAUUAUUUCUUCAGUGCCAGAGCUGUCAUUGUGUGUCAGCAAUAUAUCGAACUGUCUAGAUUCCAUGCUGAUUGGAUGAUACAACUGUGUUGUCAACAUGGAGUAGUUUGGUGGCACUUCGCAGCUUGAUCUAGGGCUAUUCAACUCGGUGCCAUUCAAUGGAUUUCCACUAAUUUAUGUAAUUCUUGAACGUAUAUUUCCAUGGAAGGUUCUUCCGUGCUUUUCCUCAUAAAUGCUGAGGAAAAUCAAUGCCAUACAUAGCAAUACAUUGCCUCAGUCCCUUCUUUAUAUGAGCUAUUAGAUUGGCUGUUCUAGUUAUGGUUGAUUAGUUUUUGACGCAGCUAUUCACAGUGACGCAGUUCAUGGAGGUUGUAAUUGUUGUUGUCAUAUGGUGAGGACUGCAGGAGACUGUCGAACUACCCAUCUGGUCCCUGAUUUGCUGAAUCAUUAUUACAAUCUUCCAGCUGACAGGAUAAUUGGGCAUCCUAGCAAAUUGUCAGCUGAUCAUUUAAGCACAUGUCGAGAUUUUUGCAAUUUUAGCAAAAUAAUUUCAGACAGCACUAGUGCUUCGAGAAAUCUUGUUGACAUUGGAGAGUUUCUCAAACCUCUUGUUAGAGAUGCUAAAUUCAUUUUUCAAUGACAUGCUUGGCAUCAGUACGUAGAAAUUCAUCUACACUACAUUUAAUAUGAGACUGGUAAAAAUUCUGUUUCUUGAGAGUAUUAGAAAAAACAGGGGGAAGUAGAGUAGAGUGGGACCAUAACAAAUGUUGAUUGAAAGAAAAAUCUAGUGCAAUUCCAGACAAACGUCAUUAGUCGAGAAUGCAGUUCCAAAAUACCAGCCAAAACCGGCAUUUCAUACGUGCAAGUUGCCCUAAAAAUGUCACCUUCAAAUCAUUGCCUAAUCAAUCCAAUGGUCUUUUGCAGCUGGCAGCCUCUCUAUAAAAUUACUUUGCAGGUGGUGACAUCAAGCCUGCGACCUGCACCCUGGAGCCUCCUUCUGUCAUUGCAUUUGAUCAGAUGAAGCCUGCAGCCUCUUUCCGUUAAAUUCAUCAGAAAUCUGACGGCCUUUGCGGUGUUGCACGGCCCCACAGCCAUGACUCACAUUGGCUAUAUAUCCUUUGGCAAACAUUUCAUCCACCAAACUCAUGGCACGGCUCGUGCAAUUUAACCUUUUCCUUAAAACCCAUUGAUCAAAGGGGAAAGCUCACAACAUCUGGUUCGAGUCCAAGCUUGAAGACUACUCAAAACAGAGAACCCAAGAUGAGAUAUUUUCAAGUGGCAAGAGGCAAUUUAUCAUAAUCUUGAGAUUAAGGGUGUGUGCGUCAUUGCAGCAACCUCUGAAAGUUAAAACAUACUAAAUUCUACGGCAAGUUUACAGAAAACAUUGAAAAGACAGUUAAAGGAAAGAGCCGUGCUCAAUCUAUUACUAGGAUUAAUAGCCCAAACAGACGUUAAAAAAGAUCUCAUUGUAGCUUGGCAGAUUCAUUUUUCAUACUCUUAUACCAUCAGCAUCAUAAAGAUUCUUUGCUGGUCUUCCGAUUCCAAUGGAAAUGAAGAGAUAUUAGGCAGGCAUGCCUUAAUUCCCUCAUGGACUGCCUAAAUUUUCUAAAUGCAUGUACCUUUUUAUCUUCUGCAAGUUGGAAAAUGCUAAAUCUAUAGCAAGCUUCUAGUGAAACACAGCUAAGGAUACGAACCAUGACACAAUCCACUACAAAGAUUAAUAGCCUGAAGGUUCAAUGAGAAAACAGAUGUAAGAAAGAGCUCUUGUUGUAGUUCGGUGGAGUUCUGAAGAUGGUGAUGAACCUACGUGAGUUUCAUUGGCAGGAGACUCAUAGAUGACGCAAUGUGGACCGGUCAUGUUUGUGUUAGUGUUCUCUCAAGUCCAUGCAUACAACUUUCAGCUAAUUUUAGAGUCUUCAUACCCAAUAUAGCCAAAACAGACAGAACCAUGGAUCAAUGCAGCCGCUCCAAUCCUCUCUCAUCGAGAUAAGAUCUCUCUACCAUCAUAUCGUGCAACCAAUGCAUCGCCCUCAAUUUCUGACCAUUUUUAACAAGUGCUCGGGUGGAGAGUGUCCCUUCUCUUUCAUUUCCUGAAGCAGCUCAUAGGCAUCACUCAUUCGGUUGGCUUUACAUAGCCCUGCAAUUAUAGCACCAAAUAACAAAGCAUCAUGUUGCGAACCUUUCUCAGGCAAAGCACUGAAGAGUUCUAUAGCAUCUUCAAGUUUCCCUGCCUCACAAGCCGCUAAUAAGGGUGUCAUAGCUGAUGAUAUGGACAUUUCCAUCUUCCACUUGUCUAUACAAAGCAAUUGGCUAGUGAACCUGGUGACAUUACAAAGAUCAUCUAACAUUGUUGAUUGUUGUUGAUUUAAAUGAUCGCAACUAGCUAGAAUUUUGUAAAACAAAUGCGCAACCCAAGGCAGUUCAAUGGAGAAAAAGCCACCCCCGAGAUAGUUAUAGGUAGCAACAUCAGGGACUGAUCCAUUCUCUAACAUUCAUGAAUCAAUGUUAGACUGGUUGUGGGAGAAAGCGAGCAGUUUUGUGCAAUCAUCAAAUGAAAUGUAGCGGGUGCAUCAUCCAUCUAAUUUUAAUAACAGUAACCACCAAGUAAUGAAUUAUAUGCAACUAGGUCGGCGUAAAUCCUCCUCAGAUCAUCAGAUCAAAGAUGCACUUUGCCUUGGUAGCCCUGCCCACCCCACUUUGCAAAGUGCAUCCACAAUGAUACUGAUGGUUCGAACAUCUGCCAUCGUUCCUCUUUGCAGCAUCUCAGUUAACGCAACUGAAGCCUCUUCCCAGUGGCCACCACAGCAUAGGCCUUCGAUUAAGGAGUUACAAGUGAAAACAUGUGGCCAGAUUCCAUUGCUCAUCAGCUUGUCCAACAAAACCUUUGCUUCUUUCCAUUAACCUAUGCAAGUUGAGCAAGGGAUGACAUUUGGGCAUCAGGCAUAGUAUUAUAGAACUUCAAAGCCUCUGUCCCGGUGCCUCCUAUGAUCGUGGUAUACAUGAUCACAUCUAGCUCCCAGUGUCUUCCAAAUUCUUCGGCAAUCGAACGGUUUUCCUAGCCUUGCCGGUUAUGCACAAUCUGUCACUAUGGCUCCACACGUGGUCAUAUCUACCUUGAUUCAUCUGACCAACAUUUCAUCCGCCAAGCUCGUGGCUCCGGCAAUUUUACCAUCCUCAACAAGCCCGUUGAUCAAAGUGUUAAAGGUCACACUUGUGGGUUCUAGUGCAAGUUCGUCCAUUUAAAUUGGCGGAGGCAACUCACCAAAAUGCUGCGAGUAAAAACGACGGGAGCCAUUCCCUUCGAAUCCGUAAUGCUCCGUCUUGGCCACAACCCCCAGGAGUUGGGUGGAAACAUGGAGGUGAAGGCAAAGGGUUCAUCCGAACCAUCCUCUCCAAGUAGAAUAAAGCAUCGUCGGCUUCCUCUGAUCCCGCCAUUUCAGCAUUUUUUUUUCGUCACAAAGGCCCCGCAUUCAGGUCGAUCCAUUGAAUUUCCUUACUCCAGCAGUGGUCGCGCAAGUGCGAGAGCAACGUGAAGGCAAACGGAUCGAGGGAGGGACGAAGGUGUGGACGGUGUCCAUCACUCUGCCACCUUCGUGGAGCGCGUACGGGAGGUGGGCCUUCAAACUGGCAUUAUAUCCUUUUUCGUUUUUCACAUUAUAUUCUAGAUUUUUAUUUUUUAUCUUUUCGCAUUAUACUUUAGUGGCAUUUUCAAAAGAAAUUCUUACCUUAUCUAUAAAUUUCAUCUACUUAAUAAUUUAUCCAUAAAUUAGAUUGACAAUGUAGAAAAGAACUAGAUUUCUUGGAAAUUUCUCUUUUCAACUAAAUAAAUGUUUAUGAAAGUAAUAUCUAACAAUAAAAAAAUAGUGUCUUUAUUACACAUGAAAAAUCUACAAUAAACAAAAAUUACAUAUACAUAUGAAAUUCUUAAUUAUGGUAAGGAGAUCUUACAUAUAUAUAGAAAAACUAUAAAAAAAAAGUAAAUAAAUUUGGGACCACCAAUUUGAAUUGCAAUUGAAAACAGAGUGCAAUUUUGUCUUCUUAAUGAAAACGGAGUGGAUUUAGUCAUAUAAGGGUAGAAGUAGCACCGCCUCAAUAAAUUGCAAAGAAAGAAAAAACAACUCACUAGACGUAUCUCUUUAGAGCCUAACCAAGUGCAGUUGGGUGAAAUCGUUCUGAUUGCGAAUUGCACUACUGCGCCAUUCAAGCAGCUGGUUGAGCCUUGCUGGAGCCUAGGGCAAAAAUCUCAGUCUGUUCCUUUAAACAUCUGUUCCAUGUGAAAACUCCAAAAUUGCGUCGGCACUAGAUCUAUUUGUGCUCGAGCUCGAGAUACUAAUCCAAAUAAAAAGUUCAAAAGGAGUUUUGGGUGCUUGGAGUUAAUGUGCUAGCUUUCAUUGAACACUCUCGAGGAUCGACUGAACGUUCGGAGGAAAAAAAACAUGAAGUACUGUUGUUGAAGUCAACCAAAGCCAUACGGGAUUUUUUUCUCACCAUCUUCUACUAAUUAAGGGUCUGUUUGUUUGUGUUUCUUUUUUUUGUUUUUCAACACUUUUUCUGUUUUUUUGUUCCUGAGAACAAAAAAGGAACAGAAACACGUUUGGGUGCGUUUCUGUUCCUUUUUUGUUCUUUUGUUCCCAGGAACAAAAAAGAAACAGAAAUAAGAAACAACAAAUUUGUGUUUCUUAUUUCUGAAACAAAACUUAGAAACUCUUUUUUAUUUUCUUCUUCUUUUUCUUCUUAUUUUCUUCUUCUUAUUUUCUUUCUUUUUUCUUUCGCCGGUCGCCGGCUCGGCAUGGCGGCGACCAGCCGACGAGGGCCGGCGGCCGUCCUCGUCGGCUCGCGGCCGCUGGGCGAGCUCAGCCUCGCCGGAUCUGGGCGAGUCGGCGUCGCCUGGCGGUGGCCUGGCAAGGCCGAGCUUGCCAGCCGCUGGGCGAGCUCGGCCUCGCCGGAUCUGGGCGAGAUCGAGCUCGCCCAGCCAAGGCGAGGCCAAGCCUCGCCGGGGNNNNNNNNNNNNNNNNNNNNNNNNNNNNNNNNNNNNNNNNNNNNNNNNNNNNNNNNNNNNNNNNNNNNNNNNNNNNNNNNNNNNNNNNNNNNNNNNNNNNNNNNNNNNNNNNNNNNNNNNNNNNNNNNNNNNNNNNNNNNNNNNNNGCGACCGGCCCAAAAGAAGAACAAAUAAAAAAGGAAAAAUAAAAAAAAUUAUACAAAUUAUACAAAUUUACCAAACGUGUUUUUGUUUAUUUUUUAUUCCCGGAACAAGUUUACCAAACGCGUUUUUUUGUUCAAAAAUUGUUCCCCGGAACAGAAACACUUUUUUCUAUUUCUGUUCCCUGGAACAAUUUUUAAACAGAAACGCAAACAAACGCACCCUAAAUGAUCAGUUUCAAAAGGGGAGUCAAACAGUAUUUGUCGACUUAUAAGAUGCAAAACGAUAUGGCGCCAAUAUUAUGCAAAACAUCGAGGUGGGCACCGACUUAGAUUUUUUUUUUUUAAGGCGAUGUAUAUUAUACAUUUUAUUUUCACGUCAAAAUUUAAAAGAAAAUUGUUUAAAUUUCAAAAGAUUAUAAAUUAAAUGGGAGUUUAGGUGUCCUACGGCGAGGGUAGAAAAUGGACAAAUUGCGCGAAUGCAUAAUUUAAUAAAUAGAAAAAAAAACUAAAAUAAUUAAAAAGCCAAUCUAGACACUAAGUCGAUUGAUUUGAUACACAGGAACUAAAAGGAUCAAAGCAAUUCGUCUAGGCAACGACUAUGACCAUUUUUGGGCAUACGAAAAUGAAUAGCUUAAAAGGUUACAGAGCCAAAGAUGACAAGUACCAAAUCUAGAGCAAAAUGGUGAAAACUCUUUAGUAUUCCAAAGCAAUACCAAUUCCAAUAAGGCACUAUUGAUAGAGAAAGAAGAAUACCAAAAGAAGCUUGGCAGUACGUGAGACAUCAUGUGGAUGAUAGCUAAAGCUUCAGUCAAGGUGCCACAAAGAUGUUGCUACGGAAUAUUCAGGCAGAAAAAUAUAGAUACACAAGCUGUCAUUUAUGGAUACAGGUAUAUCUUGACAAACAGCUCUUCAGAUGCAUGAUAACCAUAAAAUCUCCUUGCUCAUACAAGGCUGCAACCAUGCAUAUGUUGCCGUUUUACGCCAGCAUUGCCUUUGAGCUGCAGUAACUCACAAAACAAUCCUUUCAGAUACAAACUAGCAAGUGAAUCGCACAAUAAGUUAAAGCCAGGACUUAAUAUUUUCAAAGAAUGACAAAUUAUACCUUCAAGGCUUUCUCCAUGGCUAGAGAGACAGCAUUUGUAAAUGCAUCCCCUGUGCAAUUCAACAGUGACCAAUUAAUUCCAAGCCAGUAGCAGAACAGUAAGAGACUAGUUUAAAAAGGGACAUGAAUUCGAAAUAUAUAAAAGCACGAAUAAUUCAAACAAAUUGAGAUAAAGUCUACAGCAACAUUAUAUUAUGAGGACAUUGACAAAAACUGGUCAAGUAAAACCACAGCCAUGUUGCCAAAAGAACAUAUACCCUGAAAACACACAAGCUACAUGCUAGAGGUAUUGUGAACUGAGAGAAACGUUGAUUAAUUUCUUCAAACCAGGAUAUGCACAAAGCAGCCUAUGCAUCUGUACCACGCACAAGUACCUUCAGACGUUGGAUGGAUAGGAAUAUCUGUACAUGGUACAUACAAAUAGGGUAAAGCCUACAAGAAAAAAAAAAACAUAAUUUAGAACCAGUAUGAAAAAAAUGUACAAGAUAUUGCUGUCUCAUAAGCUAUGCCAUGGACAAGCAUCAUGUAUUUUUCACAAUAGAUUGCUUGGAGCCACGUAAGCUCCUCAUUUGUUAUUUAGACAUUCAACUAGUGUCCAGCCAGUCAAAGAAAGUAGACUAUUGCCAAUAUGGUGCCUCUUGCGAGCAGAAAGGGGAAGAAACUUUCUGCAUCCUGAAAUUGCCUUUUAUCUUGUAGCAUAUACAUCAACUCAUGUCUGUAAACCCAUGCUGGUUUAAAUUCUUCAUCGGCAGAAAGGAAGUUACUUUCAUUGCUCCACAGCUCAAGGGGGGUAAAGCAAGUACUUGGAACAAUUAAGAAACUACAAAUAAACGAGGACUACACUCACCUUAUGCACAUGUGAGCAAGUUUUUGACCAGCAGGAGUUGAACCAUCUACUCUUAUUACAGGAACCUCAUUCACUUUUUCACCUUCAUCAAUCAAUCAUGAACAAGAUUAUGAACAUACAAAAGUAAAUAUUUGUAGCUAAAUUUCUAGCUACUGUAUAGUAAAUGUAACUGUUAUUUUUGCAGGUUAAAGGUCAAAUCCUCGCACAGAAUUUUAAAGAUUGACAUGGCACUACGCCACAUAAAAACUGUAAGUGCACCUUCUUCUCUUUGCAUCAGCAACAAAAAAGCGAAUUUCAAAUACGUCAUCAUCAAGACAACUACGCUCUCCAAACAAAAAGUAAUCUUCAGUCUAGGGAAGAAGACGGUGAGUUGAACAAUGCCCACCAAAUAUUAAGAAAAAUAUUCAAUACUCUCUGGAUUUUCUAAGCAACCAAACCAAUCAUGUAAUAAAUUAUCAAGACACCAAUGUGCUGAUUCCAUGACUCUGUGCUACAAUUUUAAUCAAUCCUUACGUAUAUCCAUGCCAAGCAAUUACUUAACAUCAAUCCAGCAGCCCCAACAAGAAGUCUGAAUAAGACAUCCACGGACAAACUGAUAAGUUCUUCAUAACAGAACACUAAGCCAAGCAUAAUCCUUGCACUCAUAAGAAAGCAAACAAACUUUUGUCUGCAAUGCAGUAACUGAUUAAGUCCUACUAUAGCAAACAAAAUUAACAGCUUCCAGAUUCAAACCACAAGCUUCUCUGGCAUUUGCUACUCACCACUAGAUUCCAUAAUCAAAGCAGCGAACACAAAAAUUAUGCUUCGAAAGAUGAGAGCAGACUUUCAUUCUUUUUUUUUACCGAAGACGCUUUACAUACAUUUUAUUACAAUAAAAACAUAGAAUAACUUCAAAAGCAUCGCUGUUCCUAGGAGAAGACAACAUCAAGACCCAUUCUAAGACUCCAAUUAAGCCACAGCUCUAGGAAGCAGCAAGACCCAACAACAUUACUGCGUGGCAACUACCUAUUACCAUCACGGGCACAGUAAAAAAACGAGUCUUUCCAUCUGUUUUCGUGCUUCCCCUAAUGCCCAUAUUCCACAGUCUCAUUCUUUUCUACUAAAGACACGUUAGAUACAAAUUAUUACUAUGAAAACAUAGAAUAACUUCAAAAGCACCGCUGUUCCUAGGAGAAGACAACGUCAAGACCCAUUCUAAGACACCAAUUCAGCCACAGCUCCAUGAAACGGCGAGACCCAACAACGUUCCCACCCGCGGCUACCUAUAACCAUCGCGGGCACAGAAAAAGAACGAGUCUUUUCCAUCUGUUUUCCCGCUUCCCCUCUGGGAGAAGACAAUAUCAAGACCCAUUCUAAGACACCGAUUCAGCCACAGCUCCAUGAAAAGGCAAGGCCCAACAACGUUCCCACGCCGCGACUAUACAUAACCGUUACGGGCACAGUUAAAAAACGAGUCUUUUCCAUUCUUCUCCAAGCUUUUUCUAAUUUUUUCCCUCUCGCUUGCUCUCGUGCAGUGCAGUAACGGAACCCCGGAACAGGAAAAUGGAUCGAGAAAACUCUUUGGGCCGAUGAAUCAUUAUAAGUUACCUCGGAACGAUUAUUUUACUACUGUCAAAUAUAAUGAUAAAUUCCGACCAAAAGAAAAUUUUAAUGAUGGAUUCGGUCAAAAAAAUAUUUGAUGAUAGAACAAAAAUUGGCUUUAAUUUAUCUUAUUAAUUGGUUUUAUAUACUAAGUAAAUGCUAACAACAAUGUUCAAUUAGAGAUAUUAGUUAUUAAUAACUCAGCAACCAAAUUACAAUUUUAUAACUUUCAAAAAGAUUAAAGAAAUAAGAGUAUUGGAAAUAUUAAAAUUUUCAAAAAGCACAAUCAAAUUAGAAAAUUUAUCAUAAAUGUACAAUUGAGUUUUAAAAUUUUAAAAAAUACAAUCAAGUCUUAAAAUGAAUUAAUGACUUUAAUAUGAAUUAAGAUUUGUGUAUCAAUCUUACCAAAAAAAAAAGAUUUGUGUAUCAAUCAAAUCAAAACUAGUUCAUAAAUUAAUUAAAGAAAAAUUGUGGAUCGCUUGAAUUAGGAUGUGUAACUUCAUAAAAGAAUUAAUGACUUUAAUAUGUUGACAACUUGUACGACUAAAUAUUAUUAAAUUAUUAAAAUGAACAAUAAUUUUGGAAUAAUCAAACAAACCCCAGUAUUUUUUAUGAAAAUUUGGGUACAAACAUGUCACAAGCCAAGUACAUGGCUUAUCUUUUUUUCAACAAAUUGUUACUAAACAAUAUUUUUGAACUUACUGAUACGGAACAAUCAGUGGUCCUCAUGUUCUGUCUCUUGCUUCCAUGGAGUUCUCGGAAUAGACAUUUUCUCUGUUCCGACAGCAACUCACCACCACUUUCGAGAAGAUAAUAAUUUAGUCGGACCUAAGCGUGGCAGGGAGGAAAAACUAAUAUCCGUCAGCUUGCGUGCUGCUACGAUAGGGCAUGAUUGGUUCUAUUGUAUUAUUUCGCAAGAGAAGUCAUCUGCGAGUUCUUUCUCUUUGCUCCUCUCUCUCUACCCUCCCUCUCUCUCUCCGACGAAAAAGAUCGCGACCUCCCUCCCUCUCUGCCCUCCCUCUUUCCGAUCGGCGAACCACCGCACGGGACCGGCGAACCACCGCGCCGCCCCUCCGGCUUCAGAUCCGGCCCCGACUCGUCUGUCCCUUGCUCUUUCUCUCCUCUCGCGUUUCUGUCUGCCCUCCCUCUCUUCAACGGCGAACCAGCGCGUGACAGCGAACCUGUAUUUUCUCCUUGCGGAGAAGCAACGAAAAUAUCUUUGAAGUCUACAGCGAGGUAGUCUUACCGAUUUCGAGGAAGGAAGGUUUGUUUCGUUGGUCUUGGUCAAGAAGGUGAGGGUAAAAAAGCAGCACAAUUGCUGCGUGAAAAGACGAGCAAUCUUGUCGCGCCAUCCUCUCCACGGGAUUGUGCGUCUCCUUCGGGGCAAGAGGUUCGAAGUAAAGCUUUAUUUAAAGUCCCGAGUGCUCGUGACCCAGUAGCAGAAACGUCAAUCACCGUAAGUCACUUGAGACGCUCCUCUUUCGCUCUGAGAUAUUUGCCUUGGAUAGCUCUAGAUUGAGACGUGAAGGUGAUCUCAUAAUUGUGCUGCUUUUGAGGCUCGGACACAAUUUGAUGUGCUUUAAGGGAACUCCUUUUGAGACAUUAAAGCCCAUCCGAGGAAUUCCGUCUCUGCAUCACUCCUCCGGAUGAGCCGGACAGUCUAUUACAUUUUGAUAGAACAAAAUAAAGGCAUUUGAUUAUUACUCAUUGAAUGACAUCUAACAUCCUUAAAAGCAUGCACAAUAUAACAUGUGAAAUUCCAUCUGACUUUUUCAAAAUCACCGUCGUUACAGUCAUUGUAGAUUUUUCUUACUACCUUCCCCUUAUUCAAACUGAUCGGUAUGAGCCUCUCUCUUGCAGAACGAUUCAAGGCUAUCAUCUACAGUCCUCGCUCACUUUCUUUGUUCAUUUCCCUCAUAAAAGUUCUCGGCGAGGCUUGUUUAGGGUCUUCUCUCUCCGAACUCGCACCUCUCUUUGCAUCUCAGCGCGUAGAAGGUAAUCGCUUUUUCAUCUCUUAUUAGUGUGUCAUUUCUGUUGAUUUGUUGCAGCUGAACUAGCGUGUUUUGGGCUCUCUGUCUGAUGUGGGUGGCUGUUAACUUGGUGCGUCACCAGCUUAUAAUUGACUUCCGUAGAAAAGGGAAGCUUUUGCUUUCAGACUUUAGAUGUGACUAAUCAUGUGGCCUCUGUCUCAUCGUUCGUUUGCAUCGUAACUUAGUGUCGAUCCUUUGUCGAGCUAGAAUGAGUUGGAAUGCGAGACGCGCUAGAUUCUAUUGCGCGCAAAAUUGCUAGUAUUCGCCUAAAGCCAAGGACCGUCUUUCUACGGAUUGUGAGGUUUCUUUGUCCCUGAAGGUCUAAGAUCAAUCAAAUAAAAAAUGAAAUAUAAAAGAAAAAGUAGUAGGCCAGUUCGCGGCAAGUUCCAACAUCAGGGGGGUUCGAUUUUCAAUUCCGAAAAUUGAGAACAUGCUCUGAUAGGUAGGUUUCAGGGUUUUGGUCCAGAAUCUACACACUCUGUAGCCAAUCACCCAUAAAAGCAAGUACUCUCUUAAUCAGAUUUUAUUCACAAUUUUGCCUUAGACAAUUAUAGGACAUUCUAGACGAAUAGUUUGUUGUCUUCCUCGAAUUAUUGGACUAUAUAAUCCUAAAAAGUAUAUUGCCUUUCACCUCUAACUCAUUUUCUUCCUUCAAAGUUUUGAAAAUUGACGAAGUUAGUUACCCCAAAAAAGGGUAAAAGGAGGUUGAAUUGAGUAAUGAAAAAGUAUAGUUCACACGCAUAAACAAUAAUAACUAUUAUGCAAAGGUUAGAGCAUUUUUAACUCUAUUGCCACUUUCUCGAACAAAAUAUCUCCGUUGCUACUUUUUACCUGCUCUCAAAUCAGUGAUAGCUUCAGUCAUCAUCACAAUACAAGACAUACCAAAAUCAAUGGUAUGAUGCUUCUUAAGAUCUUUUAUGUUAGAGAAAAAUAAACUAAUUGAUCUUUGACAUAUGCACAUGAAGACAUUUCAAAAAAAUUGAACUAUACAUGUUUAUUAGGACACUCACUCAGCUUUAUAUCUCUCAUAUCUUUCACCUUUUUGCUACAAACUAUAAGUUCAUUCAUUAAAAUGUAAUUAAUCAAUUUAAUCUGACUUAUCACGAAUUUAGCCGAUAAUCCUAUUCUACGUCCAUUUAAUUGGAUUAAAAAAACUUUGCGAUGAUAUUCUCAAGGUGGACCCUCGAGGAAAAAGGGGGCACUAACUGAAGGUCAUUCUUUUCAAACCUUGGUCCUCUCUGAAUUUUCCUCAGCAGUUUUGCUUUAUUUUCUUCUCUUCUGCUCCUCCUUCGAUCAAAUCAUGACCUAAUUUCAAGUUGUUCAGACUAAGGCAAAGUCAGAGCAAGGCAAACAAAGGGAUGCACCGUAUCGCUUCUGGUCGUUCCUUUGCUAUGCUCGUUGCACUGAUUCUUUUCUCUAUGCUUGUAUUCUAUCAUCUCAAGAGGAAGAAUGUGAGCGCAGAAAAAGAGAGCACUAAGGAGCAUUCACUUCUUCUUUGGUGUCGUCUAAUGAAUGACAGUUCUAUUCUACAGAUAAAAUGAUGAUCAAUUAUUUAAAUUUCAAAGUUUGAAGAGAAUAAUUCAGUGAUGUUACAUCAGGUUAAAGUGGAUUCGUUUUGCUUGACAUUUCUAAUACGUAAAACUCAUUCAUUAAAUAUUGUGUACAUUCGGAAAUCAGGUGCUUUCUAUCUAGCCUUUUCACUUGUUUAUCUACAUCUUUUAGUGGAACAGGAAGGCAUCUUCUCUUCAUAAAUAUUUUAGUGUUAGUGAUCGUUUCAAAUGCAUGUGCUCUCCACCAAGAUUACGAGCCUUGACUAUAGAGCACGCAUGUAGAGAUGAAGACUAGCCAUUGUUUUCUUGUCCAUGAGUGGACACAACCCAAUGAUGUUGCCAUGACGAGAAAGCGCGGUCCAUUGGAAAGAAAAGAUGCACGCCUAAGUCAAUAACUUUUACUAUUCAAAAUUAGUCAACAGACUGACUUGAUCAUUAAACAUUUUGGAUUCGAAAUCGUUCAGAAAUCAUAUGCUCUCCUCCCAAAAAGCACGUGCUCUGCCUUUUCAUUUGCUUAUCUACUUCUUCUUGUGCAGCAGGUUGGCAUCCUCUCUUCAUUGUUGUCUAUAAGAUUUCUAUGGGGAAAGGGCAAAGUCUGAGCAAAAUAAUAAGAAAAAGAAAAGGAGCGCAAAAAAAAGGAGCAGUAAGGGAGAAAGAGAUCACUGAUGGAGCAUUUGCUUCUUCGUCCUUACCUUCCAUACCCACGGGAGGAGGUAGCGAUCAAUACGAUGUGUUCUUGAGCUUUAGAGGCUCCGACACUCGCAACGAAUUUACCGAUCACCUCUACCGCAGUCUGAUCAGUGUAGGGACUGUACCAAUUUCUGU
rnacentral:lncRNA from 1 species